CUGGAUUUGUGGUAGGAAAUCUUCAAUCCUGGCGAAAUUCAUGCUUUCAUCAUUGAUCCAAUCAAACUUCUCAGAGAAAGGGUUGUCUAUGGUUUUUGGAGGGUAUUGAUCUAUGCAGUCUUGCCAGACAUUUGUGUCCUCCAAGUCCUUCAUAACUUUCCACACACAAUUGUUGCACUUAAAACCUGCCCCAAGGCUGAUCAUUAGUAUUUUAUCACCCUUCUUGAGCCUUUUCUUGGCCUCCAUGUAACCUAAAACAUACCACAGGCCGCCGGAUGAUGUAUUUCCAAACCGAUAAAGUGCCAUUCUAGCUGGUUCGAGAUCAUAAUCGUUGAGUGCUAAACUCUUACCAACCUCAUCAAUAAUUGCCCGCCCACCAGGGUGCACACAAAAGUGGUCGAUUCCAGACCUGAGAUCCAAACCAGGUCCUGCAGCCUUAGAAGUUGGUCUCUUCAUUAUUUUGUUUCGAUAGUAACUUAUUUUGUAGCGGAGCAAUUCUGACAGUGGUAAAACUUUAGGAAGAAGAACUCGGAGAUUCAUGGUUAAAGCUUUAGCACCAGCUUUAGGUAGAUCUCUGGUGAGCCGAAAGCCUUUGUGGCCAAGGUCAUCUUCUACUUGGAUGCAGCUGCUGUAUGCUUCAUCAUUAGAGCCGAUAUGUGUGCGUACAGAACAAGUCAAUUCCAAGAGGGCUUUAUGCUUCAAAGCUCUAUUAUUUGUUAAGAGCAUGGAGCAGCCCCCGGUACGAAAAAGAAUGUUGGAGAGCAUCAUGGACUUGUCUUUGCCAGAAUACCAAUUUGGACCCAUGGAUUCUGUGCUCACGACGAUUGCAAGUGAAUUCUUAUAUGUCUUGAACAAUUGCUUAACCAAAUCAACGGCUACUACACUUGCACUGCAACCCAUUCCAGAGAGAUUAAAUGCUUUGAUGUCCUCCCUCAUCUUGUAAUGGUUUAUUACUCGAGCUGUUAGUGAGGGAACUGGUGAGAACAAAGAGACUGAAGAGACAAUAAUGUCGAUUUCUGAUGGAGAAACUCCUGUCUUAGCAAAGAGCUUAUCAAGGGUAUGAAAAAUGAUACCAUCCAUCUCCGAAACAGCAUCCAUAUGAGUUGCAGAUUCCUCUCUUCCCUCUAUGAUAUUUUUUGGGCAAUAAGUUUGUUCACCGAUGCCAGAACUAACCAUAGUUCUUAAAAGAAACCUGUAUUCUUCUAUUCCCAGAUUCUUGUUUCGGGUAACAAUUUUAGCACAGGAUCCAGUAUCGAGCUUUUGGUCCUCAGUGGCUUUAUGGCACUGAUAGCUUAGCAUAUAGCAACAGUGGUCUUUCUUUUGGUAUCCCAACUUAAAAAGGUUGAAGAUAAUAUACCACAAUAAUAGUGGAAGCAUUGCCAAGAACAACUCCAUAACAAGAAAAGAUAGGCUACAGAUUGGGUUUCAAGAGACACAGAGACUUUUAUGAGGGAGUUUAUGAUCAGCACUACAACUAUGGUCGUACUCUUAUACUAGAGAACGGGUUACAUGCGCGGCAUGUGCACAUGCAAGCAUUAGAUAAUGUUUCCUCAAAAAAAUUGAUUACACAGUAUAACGUUGGCCAAAGUCCUUGUCAGAAAUUUCAAAAUAGGUGGGGGCAGUAUAUUAAAAAAAAAAAAAAAACCUAAAAGGCCUCAUACUUGUGGAGGAGAAUUAAUGUGGAUUCAAAAACUAUAAUGUUUAUUUUCCCUUUAUUGCACUCAAUAUUUGCGUCGGUAGCAAAGGUAAAGUUGUUUUUUAUAUAAAUAUCAUUUGUAAAUUGAUUUUGGGUAAUUUUAUCAUUUACCUUUAAAAAUAUACAGUCAAAAUACUCCUUUUCCAUGAAGAGUUAAAAAAUUUGGCCUUUCGUUCAAGGUUUUCUGUAUCUUUUCUUAUUUAUUUAUAUAAUAAAAUUACAUUGGUACCCUUUGAAGUUCACAAAAAUUGAUCUUGCUGGAAGUUUUUUUUUGUCUUUGUCGCACGUGUGCGGCAUUACAGCGAUCGUCCAAUACUCUCAGGUAAAAUGAAUGUGGUCUCUAAUCAGUGGAAAUUUUGAAUGGGAGUUACCACCUAAUAUUCUGGUCACUAGAAACCCUAACUGGUUUCAGAGAUCGGGUACGGAGACUGGUUGCGUAAAGGGAAGAUAUUAGCACCCAAAAUACGUCCUACCUAAGGUAAGCUGCAUUGUUUUAAUGUCUGAUAAAAAACUAUGGUCUUAUUGCAUUUUCUAAUUGUUGGUUUGUCUAUAGUUCAAGAAAAGUUCUCCUUAAUAAGGAGGUUCUUAUCUUAAUGGGGUAAAAACCUAACCGUUAUAGCGUUCGAAAAAAAAAAUUUAAUAUCCAGAAUACGUAUUACGUGUAAUGUCGUACCCCGGAUACUAAAAGACAAACAAAAUAAAAUUUUUGUUGUUUUUGAAAUUUUAGCCAAUGUUCUCUUAACUUUAAUAAACUAGUUAUUAAAGCCAAAAUGCAUGCUAAAAUAUUUUUUAUAGUAUAUGAAAAACACAAUAUGAUUUUUUAGCUUUGAGACACUUGGUCGUAUGCACAAAAAUAUUUUUUUCUUUUUUCAAUUUUUUUUGUAUUUUUGGACGUUUUGACGAAAACCGGAUAUUUUAAUACCGGAUUCGUAUUUUUUUCGAAAUAAAAUAGAUACCGAUAUUAAGCAAAAAAACAUAUAGCAAAAGAUGAAAAAGUCAUAAAAUUUUAAAAAUAAAAAUAAAAAUUUUUCUUUCUUGAACUGGACCGGAUCCGGCCCAGUUCUGUGGGCUGGGCCGAACCCGGCCCAAAUGCAUGGGUUGGGCUCAACCCAACGAAGAAAGAAAAAUGAAUAGUGGAUCACCCUCCACUUUUCACAUGCAGCAUGAACAUCAGAGGGUGACCGGAGAAGAAACGUAACGGUGGGUGUAACUAACCGGACGUCGACCAGUUGCUCGCGGUGCUGACGGUGGGGGUGCUGUCAUUGCGGUAGGGGACUGUGGUGGCCUGCGGUGCUUCUCUUUCUUCUUCCUCUCCCUCCUCUGUUUUUCCUUUCCUUUUCUCCUCCUAUUUUCUCUCUUUUCUGCUUUUCGUUCUCCCCCUCUUUCUUCUCCUCUCUCCUUUUCUCUUCUCUCCUUUGUUGUGUUCUCCCCCUGCUCUUGUGCUCCCCUGUUUAUAUAGGCAAAAAACAGGGGAGAAAGAGGACGGGGUGGCCACUAUGCUGCCACCCCUCCAACACGUGGAAAGUUUUGGGCAAGUAGGGGUCCUUGGUCGGCGUCUUUUUGAUGCUUUAGAGGAAGAGAAGUCAGUGAAAACAAAGGAAGAAAAAAAUAUUUUUCCCCUGUUUCGCGUGUCCAGGGGAAGAAGAAGACCCACAGUGCCGUUCAAAAUGGCACCGUUUCGGGCUUUUUUUUUUUUUUAUAUGAACAGUGUAUGAAAUGACGUUGUUUUGGACAAAACACGCCAUUUCGGACAAAACACGCCGUUUCAUUUAAAAGGAAAAGGCGGCAAAAACGUGUCAGAGUUCACAUUGGUCCUCAAUUUGUAAUUUGUUCAAUCAAGUCCUCAAUUUCAAUUUUGAUUACAAAAUCAAUGCAAUUGCAUCCCUGCCAAAAAUCAAACAGCGGCCCUGAAGUUGGCCGUCUUUUUCACUUUGGUCCUUGGUCUUGAAUUUAUACAAUUUGACCCUUAAUUGAUCAAUAAACUUCUAAUUUAUUCAAUUUGGCAUUUGAUUCGGUUUAAUUGCAGCCCCUCUAUUUACGCAUGUUUUUUAUUUUGGUCAUUGGUUUCAGAUUUCUUCAAAUAAGUCCCUAAUUUGCUAUCAAACUUCAAUAUUUAUGCAAUUAAGCCCCUGAUUUGAUCAAAUUAAGUCUCAAAAAUUAUAAUUUGACUCUAAAACUUUAAUUUCUUCCCAUUAAAGCCUAAAUUGACUUCAAAAUCAAUUUUUCUUGCAAUCAAACCUUCCAUAAAUUCAAUUAAACCUUCAAUAAAAUUUAAUUGAGUCCAUAAACAUCUGAUUUUGGACUUUUAUUCCUCAAAUUGAAUUUUCUUUGUCAACAGGGCUCUCAUCAGUCCACAAAAUACUAUCAAAUUUUAAUCUUUGUAAUUUUGAACCUCCUUAACCAAUUUUUAAUCAUUUUUAAGGCGCUUUGACAUCCUCUUUUCACUGUUAUAUUUUUUUAUAAUAUUUUUUGAUUUUUUUGUAUCUUUUGAAGAGAGAAAAAAUAUGAAUUGGGGAAUAACCCAAAAAUGGGUUAUGAUAGUCUUUACACCUUUUUAGCAUCGCUAAUUUACACAUUUAAACUUUAACUUAGAAAAAACUAAGGCUGCCUUUGGAAGAUGUUUUCGUCUUUGUUGCAUGGUUUUUUUUUUGUAAUAUUGAUAUGCUCUUAGAGUUAUUUUAGUAAUUUAUAUUAUUAAAAUAUUAAUAAAUCUAUAAAAUAGGCUUACACGUGCCAUGCACGCGUCGACGCGUCAUCAUCUCUCAUGCCAUUCUGAAGGCGUGGGGACAAUUUUGUUGGCCACAAAUGCCAAUUGCCAUCUUAUCCGACAUGCAAGGUGGCAACGCAGAUGUUGAGGUGGUGCGUUUGGUCAAGAAAGGCGGCGGUUCAGUGACUUUUGGUUUUUUUCUUCCUCCCCUUAUUUUCUCUCUCGCAGGCCUAGAUAUUCAUACCGUGCUUUGAAAAUUUAGUGGUGUCUUCCACUUCGUAUUUGUUUUGAGUUUGGUCCUCAUUUCUUUUUAUUUCUAUUUGUUUGGAGUUUAAUGCUUCUUGAAGUGUUUUUUUUAAUUUCACCCCUCAAUAUUUAAUUUUAUUUAAUUUUUGUAUUCAAUCUGAUCCUUAUUCUUUUGAUUGAUUAUUUUUAUCCUUUGCAAUUAUUAUUUUUUUUUCCUUUAGAAUUUUAUUUCAUUUUUUAUUGCUCUUUUUUUAUCCUUCAUUUAUUUUGUUUUUAAGUUUAAUCACUAAUUAGUUUCUUUCAAUUAUUUUUUGUAAAAGAUUUAGUCCUCAUUGUUUUAAUUUUUGAAUUUUUAAUUUUGUAUGAAUGAGAAUUUUUCUUUAUAAUUCUUUCCCUUUCCAAAAAAUUAUUGACCCAAGUAUGGAUAAUGUGUUUUCUAAUAAAAAUGAUUUUAAACAUAAACUUAAAAUAUAUAUAUAUAUUUGUUUUAAAUAUUGAUAUGAUGACAUAUUGAGACUGCGACAUAUUAGAUUAACUCGAGUUAACAUGUCAAAUCUAUAACCCGAGUCAUGAGACUAUAACAACCCUAUAAAAAGAAAAUCAAAAUAAAUUAUGAACACCAAUUCCUAUUGAAUCCACUAUAACAAAAUAAAUUGAAUAAAAAAAUAAAAAAGAAUAAAAAAACUACUCGAGUCAACUUACCAAACCUGCAACCUAGGUCAUAAGAUCAAGAUAACAAAAAAAUUAUGAAUCUCAAUUUUCAACAAACUCAAAGAAUGAAAUCGAAAAAAAAUCAAUUAAAAAAAGAACAAAAAACACCUAAGUCAACCAAGACUAAUCUGUAAAACCUGUGACCUAUGUCAUAAGACCGAGAUAAGUUUAUACGAAGCAAAUAAAAAAAAAAUAUAAAGCUCCAUUUAUAACAGAUCCAAUGUUGAAUGUUGAAAUCAUGAAAAAUAAAAUAAAUCCAUGAGACCAAGAUAACUUCACAGAAAGCAAAUUGAAAUUGAAAAUAAAAAUACGAAGAUCAAUUCCCAAACAACCUAAUAUUGAAAGAUUUUAUUGAGAAAAACUAAAUAAAAAAGAAAAAGAUUGAGUUAUUGGAGUGUGAAAUUGAAAAAAAAUAUAUAUUUAAUUAAAAAAUAAUUUCAAAAAAUAAACAAAAUUAACAUGAACUAACCUAUAAUCCAAAUCAUAAGAUCAAAUAAAUCCAUGGUACUGCGGUAGCUAUUGUGGUUGUAGUUUGAAAAAAGUUGUUUUAUAAAAAGUACUUUUAGUUGAGGUUGGUUUGAAAAAAUAUAUGUUUGGUUAAAACUGUGGUUGAAAUUGAGGUUGAAUAAAAAGUAGUUUAAUGUGUUUAGUUAAAAGAAUACUUUUCAAAUUGAGGUUAUAAAAUAAUUAAAUAUAUAUAUAUAUAUAUAUAUAUAUAUAUAUAUAUAUUAAUAUUGAUGGUUUUUAAUUUAAAUAUUUUAGAUUUAAUUACUGCUAUUAUAUCAUGAAAUAAAUAAUAUUGAUAUCAAAUAUUUUUUAUUGUUCCAUUAAACUAUGUGCAAUUUCAUAACGUACGAAAUCUAUCCAACAAGGACUAUAUUUUCCAUGGUUUUUUAAGCGUGCAACAACAUCAGGUAAAAUAUUAUCAAGAACAAAAUUGAGGUUGCGAUCAAAUUCUGAAAAUGCUACGUCAUCAAGCGAUCUCCUUCUAAUUUUUUAAAUAAAACACGAUUAAAAAUAAAAAUAAAAAUUGAAUUUUUUUAACUGGGUCGGACCUGGCAAGAACAAAAUUGGGAUUGCGAUCAAAUUCUGCAAAUGCUACGUAAUCAAGCGAUCUUCUUCUAGUUUUUUUGAAUAAAACACAAUUAAAAAAAAUAAAAAUUAUUUUUUUAACUGGGUCGGACCUGGUUCAAUGCAUUUAGCUUUGGACCGGACCCGAACCGACCGGAACGGUGGCUGGAACAGUGGAGAGUGACUCAAUUGUUCCCGUGAACAGUGAAGUUUCACUCUCCAUUGUACAAAAACACACAGUAGUAUGAGAAGUAAGAAAAAAUUGCUUAAGCAAAACCCACGGUUAAAUCUCAUUUUUAAUGGGUCCCAUGAGCCAAAUCACAUGUGCUAAUUAUAACCAAACACUAUAUUAUUGAGUUUGAAAAAAAAAAAAAACAAUACCUGCCGUAGAGCCAAACACCUUCUACCACCAAAGCUAGCUAAGAAUAUUAAUUUCUAAUUUCUAAUUUCUUUUUAAUAUUCAUAAAUAUUAACAACUUAGUUUGCACCUGUAUUUUACCACCAUUACCCUCUAUAGGAUUCUCUCUCUCUUUUGUUUUUUUUGCCCUACAUAAGAAAGGAUGAACUGAGAUUUUUAAGGAUAGUUUUAAUUGAAGUUUUUCGUUAAGGUUUUUCGUAGUUGAUUGAACUUUCUUUGAUUUCUUUUCUUUUUUGCUUACAAACUAAGAAUUAGAGAGAAGACGAUUGUAGAACAGAGAAGAUGAGGGAGUUUUUUUUAGAUGCAUAAAACUUGAAAUUAGAGAUUUUUCUUUUUUAAUGUCAGAAAUUUAGUUUUCAUUUAUAUAAAAAUUAGCUUGAAGAUAAUUUAAAUUGAUGAACCAAAAUAAAAAGAAGAAUUAGUUGUCAAUUAAAAAAAAAUCCAUCGAUAAUUUUGUUUCAAAAUACAGUAAAUAGUGUAAAAAACUAAAAAUACCAAGAACAUUAAAUAAUAAAAAAGAUUGAUCAAAAUUCAAAUCAUCUCAAUGUGUCCACGUAUAAACAGAUUGAUCAAAAUCCGAAAAGAACAUGAAUCCCAAUCAAUCCUUUUUAGUCAACCUUAAGUAAAUAAGUGCUUCCUUAAUUUAUGCAAAAAAGAAAAAAAACACAGCACACCAGCUCGACUCCAUUCCAAUGGCUUCGUCUCCAACUCUCCCUCAAGAUUCAACCCCAGACCCAAAUACUCUCUCACAAAACCCUAACAACACAAACCCAGAUCAAAUUCAACAAACGUUACCUGAUGAUGAUGAUGAUGAUGAUACCCAAUUCCCCAAAACCCUAACCCUUGAAAUCCCGAACCCUAACUCACAAGAAGAUGACCCAACCAACCAAAACCAUGACGACUUCGAAGACCUCACCCUUUUCUCUCCCACCACAACCACCACCACCUACCGUCGUGCUGGGGGUGGACGGAAAAGCAGGAAGGCUAACCAAAAACGACGUGUACAGGUUAAAAAGUCUGAAAAAAAGCUUGAAACUUUAAGCCAAACCCUAAAUCCAAUCCCCUUUGUACCCAACAAAAUCCUCGACCUCGCUUCACAUGAAACCCUUUUAAAAAAAUUGGGUUUGUGGGAAUUUGUGCAUUUGCAAUUUGAUACUAAUAUUCGUGCUGAUUUGCUAGCACAAUUGAUUGCUGGUUAUAAUCCUGCGAUGCGGGGUAGUUAUGUUAAUGAGGUUAAGAUCAUGGUCAAUCGUGCUGAUUUAGGGCGUGCUUUGAAGUUACCGGUGAAGAAAGAGAAAGGUAGUGGAGGUGAUGGUGCAUCUGAGGUUACGGAGAGUGCGGAAUCAAUUGGGUUUAUAGAGGAGUUGGUGUCAAAUUGGAUUUUGUUACAUGAGGAUACUUGGAUGAUGCCGCCAGAUAUAUUGAACUGGAUUAAAUUGAUUAAAGAAGGGAACUUUGACAAAUUGGAUUGGGCUGGAAUGAUUUGGUAUAUGGUAGAGAAAGAGUUGAAUGCGGAACCUGGUUUAGGAAAUUGUUAUUAUGCGUCGCAUUUGCAGUGUUUGAUAAAGUGCCAGAGAGAGGAGUUGUUGAAGGAGGGAAGUCUUAAAAUGGAGAUUGAUGUUAAGGAUGAUGAAGAUGAUGAGGGUGCGAAGAUGGAGCAGAGUGUGAUGAUGGAAGAGGGUGCGGAGAUGGGUGAGGAGUUUAGGGGUGAAUCAUCUGUGUUAGAGGAGCAUAGAAUUGAGUUGAGUCUUGGAGGGAUGGAUAAUGCAGGGAAGGAAGAGGUGGAGAAUGUGGGUGAUGAGGAUGUGAUGGAUUUUGAGGAGAGGAAAGAGGAAGAAGAUCAGGGUCAGUGGGAAAAGCUCAGUAUGGAUGGGCAUUAUCUGCAGCCAUGUGGUAGUUUUAGUCAAGUUGCGGGAAUGGAAUUUGAGGAAGAGAGGAAACAGCAGGAUGAGGUGGAGGGAGAGGAAGAGGGGAAGGGAGGAGAGGAAGGGGAGGAGGGGGAGGAGGGGGAGGAGGAUGAAGAGGAGGGGGAGGACGACGAUGAUAUUGGUUUCCAUAUCGCAGCGAGAGGAAAUAUUUUGGAGGGCAUAAGCUCUGAGAAUCUUCUUGAGGUGAUGGGAGCAGCUCACGUUCCUUUUAGUUCAGGUGUCCAAAUUCAUGAUAAUGUAUCUUCCAGGGAAUUUCUCGUUUCUAGGGUUGAUACAGAGACAAUUCCAGGUGGUUCUUCAAUUUUUGGUAAUGUUGGUGGAAGCAAGAGGGUGAUUGAGCAUCUUCAGAGUGAUAUACCGCAUCACUCACUUAAUGGUGGUAAUAAGAGGAUGCGGAGUGAUGGGCAUUGGGAUGCAAAGCCGUAUUCGGACUUUGAUAGUUUUGAGGAGGAGAUGCAGCAUAUGAUGGGAAAAGCCAGAAUGAUGAUGGAGGAAAAGGAGCAGUCAUGUCAGGAAAUGAGUAUGCAUCAACAGGUGUUGUAUAAUGAGUUGCAGCAGCGUGAAAACUUCAUUCAGCAGUUGCAGAAGACCAAGAUGGAAGAGCAGCGGAAGAGCCAGUUGGAGGUUUAUAGGCUUGAACGUGAACUGUAUAUGAUGGGAAAUCUUUUAGAGGGCUAUAGAAAGGCGUUGAAGGAGACACACAAGGCAUUUUCUGAAUACAGAGCAAGAUGCCAACUACCUGAAGAACCGAUUUAUAAGGAUACUGGGUCUGGUGGUCUUGUUUUGAGCACCAUGGAGUUGGAGAAGCAGCGCUUGAAGCAAGAGGAAGAAGAAAGGCUAAACCGUGUAUUUCUCGAGAAGUUGGUUAAGGAAUUUGAAGCAGAGUGCAUUCCUAAAUUUGAAGGAUAUGAGAAUACUGUUAAGUUGCUGAGUGACAAGUUACUGGUUGUUGGGGAAAAAUUCAAUCUCUUGAAGGAAAUGUCUGGAAAGCGAAAGGUGUCAGAGAUGUCAGAAUGUGUUGCCACUGAGGACUGCAAUACAGCUAAAGAAUCUGUUCCAACUGAAGAAUGUGUUUCAGCUGAAGAAUCAGCUGUAGUACAGGCUCCUGCCGAAGAAUCUGUUCCAGUUGUAGCACAGGCUCCUGCUCCUGCCGAAGAAUCUGUUCCAGUUGUAGCACAGGCUCCUGCUCCUGCCGAAGAAUCUGUUCCAGUUGUAGCACAGGCUCCUGCUCCUGCCGAAGAAUCUGUUCCAGUUGUAGCACAGGCUUCUGCCGAAGAAUCUGUUCCAGUUGUAGAACGUGCUCCUGCUGAAGAAUGUGAUCCAAUGGAAGAAUGUGUUCCAACAGAAGGAUGAAUUGCUCUCAAGUCUGUUUUGACUUUGAAGAUGUAGGUAAAGGAGAGCUCUUUUACGUAAGCUGAUACAGCUUUUGACAUAUCGUAGUCAAAUAUAUGUUCUGAAAGUUUUGUAUUAAGUACCUUUUAGAAUUGAAGCUUCAUGUCACAUAGUUUGCUUACAUUUUCUUUUUAACUUUAAAUGUGGUAUGCGUUUGAGCAAUGCUAUGUACUGAUACCACAACUAUUUCCACUCAUCUGAUUUAUCAAUAAUAUGUUAAUUUCAUUGUCUGGUGAGACUAUUAACUGAGAAAAAAACAUACAACUAGAUAACACUUUGGCACACAAUAGGCAAUCUGAUAUAGAAAAAUGGUUUAUUUUGGAUAAUUUUCCCCUCCAAAACUUGUCACUUUUGGUCUAUUUUCCCUUUCUGCUUCACCAUCUUGUUGUUCAUCAUUAUCUCGACCUGUGUUUUUGGGCCUUUUCUUCAGUUAUUUGGUUUUGUUAUCCAUACGGUCGUUGUGAUCUUUGUAUGAAUAGUUUCUGUGAGAACAUUGCUUUUGGGGUUAGAGCUUAGAAAUAUUGUAAAAAAUAUAAUUGCUGUAAGUCGUGAAGCUUUUCAAUUAUCCUUAUUGAUUGUUGUAAGAGGAAAUUAGCUUUAGCUAAUUUCGAAACUAAUUUCUUAUAUAUUUUAUCUUGUAUUCCUUGAAAUCUUUUUUCUUCACUGGCUUCUUAUAUCUUCUCUGAGAGGGUUACAAGUGAUCUUGAAACUCUCCUCUACUUCUAUAUAUGCCAUGAAGUAAAUCCUCUACUGCACACUGUUGCUGUUCUGCCAUCUGCAGAUCUCUGUUUUGGUAAUAUUUCUGUGUCAUCCAGCAUAAUUGUGAGCAUGUUUACCUUGAGCGAUGGUUGUGGUCGGGCAUCACCACAGUUAGCAAAUGAGCAAUGGUUCAUGCAAGUGAAGAAGUUUGGAAAUGAACGACAGAAUGCAGCUUGUAUUUUUGCUAUAGACAAUGCUGUUGGAAAAGUUUAGAGAACUCUAGUACUGGAGUUAGGAAUUGUUUUUCCUAGAGAAUGUUCUGGAUAACAAUUGAAAUUUGCUGACGAGAGUUUUAGGACACCCAAGUAUGCUAGAAGCCCCUUGGUCGCUGCCUAGUAGAUGGUCUCUACUGAUGUUUGCAACAUCCUGAAGGUAGGACUACCUGCGUCUUGUAGAUGUUAGAUAUGUUGGUCCAGGAGUAAUAUGAGUGUGAAUGAUUUACAGAAUCCGUCUUCAAGGCUACACUGAAGUUCUUACCAUAUGACUUGUCAUAUAUCCACAUUCCAUUUCACGCCACUUCUGGUUUGAUGGUAGAGCAAGUUUAUCUUCAAGGUGAGGUAUUGUUUGUUUGUCUAGCCAAAAUUUCUUACUAUCACAGGAUCCUACGCAAGUGGAACUGUGAUUAUUGUAUGAAUUUCUGCUAGAAAUAUCAAAGAGCUUGCCUUUUCUUUUGAAGCCCCAUUUGAUUACAUCCUUUAUAUUUAUGCAAGCCUUAAUCACACUGUAGCUUGGAGGUGUUAUAUGCAAGCCUUUAUAUUUUGAUUUCUUCUUCUGAUGUAGUCGAUAAUUUUCUUUUAUUGUUUCCAUACAAUAUAAUUUUCUUGUUUCUUUAUUUCAUUCACUUGCUUUCAAUUAAUAGUUAAAUUCUUUUAUUUCAUUUUUCAACAAUGCCAAUAAUGAUUCUUUAGAGUUCUACUCUAUACACCACCAGCAACUUUUUUCUUACCUUUCAUUUCAGCAAAAGUUUUGUGGCCAAUCGUUGUACAUAUACUGAGUUUUCCCAACCACAGAAAGAGUCAGGUCUCCGAAUGUUGGUGUAUGUCAAACCCGAGACAUUGGAUAGAGCUUGGUUAUUCACAGCCAUUCACAACAUUGAACAUUGCUGUAGAUCAGCAUAAUUGCCAUUAAUGUCUAAUAUUGGACUUGUUGUAUGGCUGAUUUAGCAGAAUCAUAAUCCAGAUUUCAGAGGCCCUAUAUGGAAGCAUGUUUUCACUUUUUCUUAUGUUCUUUGUGCUUCAUUGUCGGAGAUAUAAAGAGCAUAAAUGGUUCAGCUUGAGUUUGUGACCUAAAUAAAGAAUCCAAUAUUGAGGAUAUUAGUGAUCUAAAUAAAGAAGAUGCGCAAGAAGAUGAACUUGAACACAAUAACUUUAAAUGAGUUUGAUAAAGAGGUUAACAAAGAAUAUAAUGUGCGCUUUAGUUAUAGAGAAAGUUUUAAGAAACUUUUGAAUUGUCUAAAGAGAUAAAUGUGGUGUUGAAAGAGUCUUAUGAUAUUAGUCUUUGUUAAUUACCCUCCAUGUUUGAUGUCAAGUUAUCCCUUACCUUUUACACGUAAUGAGUGUUAUAAUCUAUUUUUAUCUUUAUUUUCCUAUGUGUUUUUAAAAUUAUAUUUUCAAUCAAAUUUAAUUUUUGGCAUUAAAAAAAAAGAAAUAAAAAAAAGUUUAUAGAGAGAAAUAAGAAGAAAGAGAGAACAAGGCUAAGAAGAGUAGGAACUAAAAAAUAAUAAGGGAAUGAUAUGCAUAAGAGGAAAAGAAAAAUAAAUUGGAGGAUAAAGCAAAAUAAAAAAGUAAAUGGAAAAAAUCUUGCACGUUAAGAAGAGAAAAUUUAAUUAAUUAAGAAUCCAUGGUCAAGAAAGAAAUAGUAUAAUUGCUUAACAAUAUAAAUAUGAGACAUUCAAACAAAGAGAAAAGACACCUGGAGAUAAAAAAAGAGACUUUUACAAACAAAAAUCUAAACUACACACAAGGAGAUAAAGGAUCAUAAAAACACAAAAAAACCUAGCUUCCUCAAGAUGUAGAAAGAUAGCCUCGAAAAUUCAACAACAUCAAUAGCCUUCUUUGUCUUCGAUCUCCCAUCUCUAAUCGAGGUGAUUAAUGUUAUCCGUACCAAAGGAAGGAGUUGUGCACACCACAGAUUCACGCGCCUCCCUCAUCUGAUGAUGGGCGAUACCUUAGCUCUUUGGAAUAUAUCGACAAACUUAAUCCGUUGAUGUAUCUGUUUGUAUUUUAUAGGUCUGUUGGAAUGUCUAUUGAUGCAAAACAUUUUAUGUUGCCAGAUUAUAUUUGUAUUCUUUAUGUAUCUAUCCAGUAAAUACUUAAAAUCAUAGCAUCACAUACAACACAAUAACACCAGUUCUAUGUAUAAUAAUAAAAUCACAUAAAAUAAAUAUUUCAUUGUGAUUUAAUAAUAAAUAAAUGUCAUUGUCAUUACAUUAAAGUUAAUUUUGUCCAAAAAUAUUACAUUAUAUUUUAUGGCAUUACAUAUUCGUGUUGUGAAAAUUAAUCAGAAUUGUCUUCUUCAAUUUCAUCAUCAUCAUAUCCAUCGUGAUCUUCUACAUUGAUUUCAUCGCUAUCAUUAUCUUCAUUGACUUGUGUAUGUCCACUGGUUCUCAAAACAUCAUUUAAUUCCUCAAUCUCAGCAUUAAAAAAAGUAUUCUUGGUGAUGCAAAAAUUUGAAUUUUCUUUUAAGUCAUUAGAUGGAGCAACUCGAUAUAGAUCAACUAACUCAUCAAGUUAAAAGACAUCAUCUUCUACAGUUAAUUCAUCGUUUCCAUCAUGAAAAACCUGGACACGACCCAUGGGAUUGGUUUUCACUAUGGAUAACCAAUCAACUCUUGAAUGAUCAUUUCUAAAGGAAGGAGUGUAUGUAAUAAACUUGCUAGUAUUGUUUGACAUGUCGGCAUUGCAGAGUCUAGCCUUUGCAUUAAUUACAACCAAACCAUGAUGUAUAUUUAAUCUGAUUUUUUUGUCAAUGGUAUCAUACUAAUAACAUUUGAAUAAAAAGACUCUAUUCUGUUUGCUAUGAUAUUGCAAUUCAAUGAUCUUUUCCAACUUUCCAUAUUAGUCAACUUCAAACUUAUUAAAAGUCCAUUCAUUAACAUAGACCCCACUGUUAUAUGUCUUUCUACCCUAACCAUACGCUUCAGUAUAAAACACAUGUCCAUUAAUGAAGUACUCGUUAUAGUACUUCACCUUUUUUUUAUGACCCAUACUUAAUAAAUUCAAAGAAACACUAGCAUUCCCUUCCAAUAAAUCUAGUACAUGAAUUACAUCUCCAUCACAAUUAAUGAGAAAUAUGUAAUUAAAUUAAGUAUCUUGAGAGAUAAGAAUAAUUAAACAGUCCUUACAUGUGUUCUAAACCACAUGAAAUUUUUUUCAUCUUGUAAUCAAAAUAUUUGGGAUUCAGUUAGCUAUGAGUUUUUGGAUAGUAAAAAUUGACGAUGUUGCCUAUGAGGAAUUCAAUAAUCUAUCAAUUUAUGAUAGUAUAAUAGAUAAAUUGUUUAAAAGUAACAACAUGUGGAAUAUUGUACUUGUUAAAUAGACCUUAGUUCAUCAUAAUUAAAUAGCAUAUAAUUAUGUGCUUGUUUGAAUUCUAUUUCUGUCAAAUAUUUUCUCCUUACAAUAUUUUUUGGUACGAGUCAUCCAAGAUGAGAGAAUAUUGAUAAUUUUCCACUCAAGGAACUUGCCCACUGUCAUCAUACCUUGGAACGCGGUUGAUUCUUGUUCUUAAGUGAGGCUUAAAUAGUACGAGAUAAAUUUUGAGAUCUCUUCAACGAUAUAAGCCUUGCAUAUCGAAACCUCAAUAUACGCCUUGUUUUUUACUUUUUUCUUAAGGUUGAAUAAGCACCUCUAUGGAAUUAAAUGAAUGUUUUUAAUUUAAAAAAAAUAUAGAAUUUUAAUUACGAUGGAUGUGUAAUCCAUAACCUCUCGAAUGGAUACAUCCAUCUAUAUUAGACUGGGCUUCCGACUCUUGCCUCAAAUCGUAGAUGUAGUGGUAAAUGCUACAUUAAGUCGAAGAAUAAUAGAGGGAAUGUCAUCUCAAGUUUGCAAAUUGUCUGGACGAUAUUCAUUUCAAGUCUUUCCAUGUGUUAUGUCUGUAACUUGUUAGAACAUAUAUCUCUAAAGAAGUGACUAAUCUCCGUGAGUGUAUCCAAUAUCCCUUUUGGCAAUAAAUCCUAGUAAGCUAACGGAAUGAGUGUUUGCAUAAAUACGUGGUAGACAUGACUCUUCAUUCCAUACAAUCUGCAAUCCUCUAAAUUUAGCAACCUUGAUAUGUUCGAAGCAUGUCCAUUAGGAAAAUAAAUAUUCUUAAGCCAUCAAGUUGAAAACCUUGAGUAUCACCAUCCAUCAAGAAUAAAGAGCAGCAAAAGACCUGAAUGGAUUAAAACUGUCUAUACAUAACCCAAGACACAUGUUCCUUAUCUCCACUGAAAACUGAGGAUGCACAAUGUUAAAGUGUUUGAAGGCUUUACUAUCGGAAGGUGACACCAUUACUCCAUCUACCUCAUUAUGUGAUUGGUGCUAUGUCAUGUGCUUAAUAGUCUUUGAUGACAUGAAUAACCUCUAUAAUUUAGGUGUGAUUCUAUGUGCGAUAAGAGUUCUUUCCUUGCUAGUUUUGGGUUUAUAAUGAGUAUGCCAACAUGUUAUGUACUCGGUCAACUUUGUAUUUUCAAGGUAGUACAACAUGUACAAGUUUGGACACAUGUACAAGUUUGGACACAUGUUAAUUUUCUAGUAUCCUAGGCCGAGGGGUUUCAUCAUGGAUUCAGCAACAUAAAAGUUCUCUUUUAGCCUAUUCCCUUUAGAUAAACUCUUUUCACCUAUUCAACAAUUUUCUGACUUGAUGCUGAACACUUGUGCAAUGACUGAUAAUUUAUUGUGAUUUGUGCACCCAUCGUGGCUGUGUCUACAUUAGAUUCUUCAUCAACAAUUAGACAUUGACCGACAUAACUCUGAUUCAUUCCCAUUACAUCUAUAAUAAUAUUCCUAUAAAGAUUACUAUUUUCAUCUAUAACUUCAUGCAUGUUGCUAGAACUAAAAGUUGACCCAGAUAUCCUUUCUACCAUGGUCUCGUGAGGAAUAUAUGGUUCUCUAUGUAUAAACCAACACAAGUAUCUAUCCACGAACCUUUUUUUGUAGAAGAUACAUUCUUUACAACAUUUGGUUCAAGGAUUUUUUUUUUACAUAUGAUUUUUAAGUCAUUUUUUGAGUUGUUUGAGGCCAUCAAUAGAUUUAUCAAGUUGUUUAUGAUCUCGAGGUUAAAAAACAAGAUGAAAAUAGUUUUUUUAGCAAAAAAACCAAAGCCCCGCUUUUCUAGAAACCUUUGGUGUUGGCUUCAAUAAACACUAGAAGAUGCAUCAUUAACUCAUUUUUUUUCAUAAUAGUCAUUCGCCCUUUAAAAAAUAUAAAAAAAAUAUAAAGCUAGGCUUAAGUGUGCGUGCUGGCUAAAAGGCCCACGUGUCUGAGCUCUUUUUGUAAGAAGGCCACCAUGCUCGUGCGACAACUUUUUUUUUGUUAUUUUAUUUUUGGGUGAAAAAAUUAAUAAGAAAAAUCAUUGAACCUAGUUGAGUCUAUGAGCUGAGUCAUAAGUUUGACGGGGUAAUCUGCAACAUCCCGACUAUUAUAUUUUUUUUCUUUUUUUUUGUUUGAUGAUUUUUUUUGUCCCUAAUUUUUUUUAAAAAAUCUAAUUUCAUCUUUUUUGUUAUUGAUGAUCUUUUUUUUUAUCUCAAAAUUAAAAAAAAUACAAUUUCACCAUUUGUUAUCAAUUAUCUACUUUUGCUAUCUUGGACCCAUAUGCCUAUCAUGGUUUUUUCUUUUCUUUUCUAAAGAAUAUUUGAUACAGAAAAACUCUCAUAUGUUUUAUUAUCGUAUAAUUAAAUAAAAAAUAAUUUCUGAGAUAAAAAAUUUAUUAAAUUCAAGGAAGUGCACGACUUGCAUUGUGAGUUUGCUUGGUUGACUUGAGUUCACUUGGUUUGUUUUGUAAUUGAGUGUUAUUUUUUACCAAUUUCAUUCUUCAACAUUAAGUUAAUUGAGGAUUAAACUUUUCAAUUUGUUUUUUUUAAUUAUUAUUUCUAUAAGUUUAGCAAGUCAAUUCAGAUCGACUGAAGUAGAUGCAUUGUGUUUCUAUCUUAUCAUUUAAUAUACAAUUUCUUCUGAAUUCAUAGUUAAAAUUUACUUUUUUUAAGAGAUGUUUUCUUUUUAUUGUGUUUGAAAAAAAAUUUGCCCUGACCCACAACUUAACAGAGAUCAAUGUGCUAGUCUAGCUCUAUUCACUGUCCUAAGAUUGUUGAUGGCUUGGCCCAUGGUCAACAAGUUACGUCCAAGUUCAGUUUACUGAUUGAUUGAGUAGAAAAAUAAAAGUGAUCACAAAAUGAUAACAACAAGGUUCUGCUUUUUAACUUGAAACGCAAGGAAAAUGUUUAGAAAUAAUUAAGAAAAUUCUAGAUUCAUUAUUUAUUCGAGGUUCAUGAAUGUAUAUAAUUAGUAGGGGUUCAUGUAUAUGCUAGUACAUUCAUCUGUAUUUAAUGAAUCUUAAACUCCCAUUUUAAAGGGGAGGAAGUAAAUCUCAACUCUGACUUUUGUUUUUGUUCCUACACUUGAAAUAUUCUUGCUUUAAGGUUUAUUUUAAAGGAGAGGAAGUAGAUCUCAAUUCUAAGUUACAGACUGAGAAUUCUCCUGUCACAAAAUCUUUCUUAGAACAUGAGGAAGGUUUCUAGUGAACUUUUAGAUUUUUUAGUUCUUCCAGUUUCAGAUUGUUUAUAGUAUACAAAUAUAUUUCACAUUGUUUUUGGCACAAAGUUGACAGAAAAGAAAAGAACGCGAUUUCCGAAUCCUUCAUACGAAUUAAAUCUUUCCCACCAAAAAGACCAAACAAGAUAUCUUUUAGUUAACGAAUCUCUCUCUAUUGUUAUUUAGGAUCAUCAUUUUGGUUACAUUUUGUUAAUCCAGGAAGCUAACAGUGCAAGUGAAUCUGCAUCGCGUCAUGCAGAUCACACCAGUCGAUUUCCAUCAAAAUCUACAAAUAAGAGACCUACUCAAUCAAGGAACAAAGGAAGUGCAUUUGGGAAACGUAUUGUUCCCGUGAAUGUUAAAUUUGAUGAUAUAAUUGAUGAAGUAAGAUAUGCUUUAAGCAAUUGUGCUGCCCCUACAAACGUUGAGCAUGAAAAGACAAUGGCAGAGGAAGCAAAACAGUACUUGUACAUGAUGGAUUCAAGUCUUCUCAUCAGACAGAAGAGUCAGACGCUGCAGUUAGUGAAGUUGCUAAUCAUAAAACAGAAGAUUCUUGUUCGUCCAUGCCUCAAUCUGUCAACGGAAGUGGUUGCUAAGAAUUUACGAUUUCUGAUUCAAAUCUGAAAGGGUCUGAUUAUGCCCCAGAUGUGAAAAAUUUCGCAACUGAGGAACAACUUUCGCUGUUGAAAUCAAGGUGCAGAUAGACAGAGAUAUUCCGUAAAAAACUUGUAAUUCCUGUGUUGGUGAAAUUGAGAAAAAGCAAAAGAAAUCAUCAACUAGCCACUUCGAAGGCAAUAAAAAAACUGGCCAAAUCAAUGGAUUGGAUUAACUAUAGGGGUUGAUGGACUGGAGAAUUUCAGGAUGGACAUUUGUGCUUGCAUUGUUUAUUGGCUGUGGUGGCGAAUACAUGCACCUUCAUCUUUUCAUUGAUCUCACCAUCGCAACCACCAAUGUUCAAGCCCAUCAGAGCACCGGCCAAGCCCAGUGUCAUUGGCCUGCAACAUGUAGGCAUGAACCCCCACGAAAUAUAAAAUGCUAAGCAAUACAAUAUCGGUGUACAUUUGGCUAAACGUAUCAGCCAACUCAUAUUUCUUUGAAGUAUUUAGUGAGACUUGCAAGUAUGUUAGUAGUUGUUGCACCAAAUUCAUCAUAUAGAAAACGUAGAUUCAUCUACAUUAUACAGAGGCUUAAAUCAAGAGAAAGAUGCCCACCUGCGAUGAACAAGUUUGUUAUCUGAAAAUGGCUUGGAAUCUCCUGGAAAUAUUUUUUUCUCCUUUUCUCCCAUUAUUUGGCACGCCAAUAUUUUUUUUCUCUUUUUCUCCCAUUAUUAUACUAUUUCAAUCUACAAUGUUAGUGUUUUAUGUGAGCGUCAACAGUGAAACACUGAACUCCUUUAUUUUUUUAAUUUUAGAUUUUUUUUAUUUACCUUAAAUAUAAUUAUGAAAUUCUUUGAGGUUUUCUUAUCAUGAAACUGGUAAUUAAGUUAUCCAUUUCCUUAAUGUAUUUUGUUUCCAACAUCUUAAGCAGAUUAUUUUUUUUUACGGGUUUGAGAAGCUUAUAGUUAUCCCAUUUAUAAGAUUAUUAUUACUUUUACCUUUCCGUUUGUUUUUAAUGGAAAGUUACUAAAAAACAAUUAUCAAAUUAACUUUCUCGCGAGUACUUCUUUUAAAUACGAUGUAGAAGGUUUCUAAGAAACUUUCAGGUUUUUAUUAUUUUCCAUUUUCAACUUUUUUAUAGUACUGUACCAUAGCUCAAAUGGAUGUUUUGGACGAAAAUACAAGUAAAGAUGUAGAAUGAAAAAGUCUUGAGUUUCGCCUUACCUCCUAAGGAAAGGAAUAGACAUACAUCUUUGUAAAUUACAGGGAUGAUAAAAAAAACUGAAAAACAGAUUAAAUCGAGAAAAUUGAACCGUGAAAAAAAACUGAUUAAACUUAUUAAAAUUAAAAAAAACCAACCGGUUCGGUUCCGGUUUUAUAAGUUUGAAACCGAAAAAACCGAACCAAACCGAACCCAAACCGAAAAAAACUGGAAAAAAAUCGAGCCAAACUAGAAAAAACCGAGCCAAACCGAAAAAACCGAGUCAAACCGAUUUGAACCGAUUUUGUCCUAAAAAACCAAACCAAACUGAAACCGGUCGGUUUUUAAAAAAAUCGGUUUGCUUAUUUUUUUUGACAAAAACCAAACCGAACCGAACCAAAAAUAAUCACCAAAAUAAAUUAUACCCUCUCGUGUGGUGUUAUUAUAUAACAUUAAUGUUUUCUAUAUUUAUAGAAAGAAAUUUACUUGCUUACGGGCCAAAGAUCCAUAGUCCCCUAUCAAGUCCAUAAAAGAUAAAUCUGAAAUAGAAAAAAUAAUAAUAAUAAGCCCAUGUAGCUUAAUUGCUUCAGGAAAGCACAAACCUAUCCCCGACGGCGAGGGAGCACUUGCCUGCCCCCGUUGGAGAGAACUUGCCCCAGUUGAUGCACCGCCAUAUGAUUUGUCACCUGGUGGUGCUGGCCACGCCAAGCACGCUUCCGUUGUAGAAGGCGAAUAAAGUGACAAAACUCCACUUUUGAUACACCACCAUACCUAGUAGAGCUAUGAAUUCCGAUAAUUACCGUAAUGCUAGGGUUGAUAGCGUCUUACCAAUUAUGCCCUCACAGCCAUGCAAGGUGGUACAUUCAUUCAAGUUUAAAUAUAUCUGGUAAAAAAAGCCCAAGAAAAAUCAGACAUAUCACCUUAAAAGAAACAUUCUCCACGGGGGUGAUUAUUUUCUCCACCCCACUGUCUUAAUUCUUCUUCCGCUGCAUGCAUAUCCUAUUCACUAUUUUUAAUUUUUCUAAUUUAAGCAUUAAAGGAUUACUACAUUAUUUAGGGUGUUUAAAAAAAAGUGUCUUUUGAUGCAAUUCAUUUAAUUUAUGGUUAUUUCAUAAUUUUCAACACUUUCACUUUUUUUUUAUUUUGUAUGGUAAUAAAUAAAAAUUAAAAAAAAACAGUGAAAUGAUAGGCAAUGAAGAGAAGAAGAACUAAUAUAUUGAAAGAUAAAAAAAUAUGAAAGAUCAAAUAAAAUAAGGAAAUUCAAAGAUGCAAAAAUAAAUAAGGCUUAUUUGCAUGCAAUAAUGUAAAUAUUGAAACAAAAUUGAAAAGAUUCAAGUUGACUUGAACUACAAAGAAAGCUUUAAUAAACAUAUUUAGAGAAUCAACAAUUAUGAAUCUUAUUGAAGUGAAAAGAAAAAAUAAGAGAUCUUGUACGGUUCAAGAAUGAAAAAAAAAAUGAUUUUUGUUCAUAAAAUUUCCAAGAUUUAAAAUCCUCAUCAAUCUUCUAAUUAAUGAUUAGAUUUUAUUUUUUAGGAUUCUUAGCACUAUAAAUAGAGGCUUAGAGCAAGGUUGUCAAAAAUGCUUUUUUGAUACGACACGGAAUAUACAAUAUAAACUCGAAUCGCAAAAUCAUAAAAUCGUAAGUAAAAUAUUUUAACUAAUUAUAUAUUAACAAUUUCAAUCAAGUAGUAAUUAACAAUAUAACACAAUUAAAAUAAACAAUAGAAAAGUCCAAACACCUUUAUUUUAUUCACAUUGUUCCUCUACUUCUUGGACAAAUCGACCCACUUAUUUCGUCAUUUACAAGAAACAAGUCCCUUCCAAUUUUGAUAGACUGCAAGGGUCAAGCAUGUCAAUUUAUAACUUUUAUUCUAUAUAUUUGCCAGCUAAAACAGAGUAAUUUAUCAAUUGAUAUGUUAAUAGUUUACAUAAGAAAUUAUGAAGAAUGAAUAUGUAUUUUAAUUUUACAGAAAUGAAAUCCACAAAUAACUUGUAUCGUUAAAAAAAUUAUAAUAAUUAUAGUCAAAAUCAAGCCCUUGAUUAUCAAAUUUCACAAGUUUGCAAGAUAUAAAUUUAAAACAAUGAAAAUGUUUAAGAUACAGAUUACCAGAAUGCAUAAUUUUAUAUUUUUUCAAACUCGUAAAAUCGAUCCGAUUUUACCGAGUUUGAACGAGUUUAACUGAUUUUACUAAUUUUUGAGUUUUAAUCCGAUUUAACACGUUAGAUAUAUUUUAACUCGUAAAAUCAUAAGAUUUUAAGAGUCAACUCACUUUUUUGAUAACCUUGCUUAGAGUAGAUGCUGGGAGAACAUUAAGAAAUGAUCAAACAAACAAGAAAAGACUACAAAAAAAAAAGAAAAAAAAAUCAAAACAAACCGUUAGCCAGAUGAGAAAUGAAGAAAAAGAAAACAAGAGAAAAAAAAAAGAAAAAAAAAUUAUAUGCUCUCACUCUCUCCUCUUUUUCUUACCCACAUUGCUAGAUUCUAACCAUUGCUCCAUCAUAACAACAAUAGCCUCGUAUUGACCAUAGUCUCAUCUUUCUCUUUAUGACCGAGCAAACUUCCUUUCUGCCAUGAAAAACCAUUCAAAACCUAUCUCCUUUUCUCAUUACUAGAACUCAUCAACCAACGUUUUUAUUUCCUCUACAAUAAAAAAUUCCCCUUUUCGACCAAAUCAAUCCCUCCAUACAAACCGAAACAACCCAGCUACAACAACCACAAACCAUCACAACCUUCUCUACUAGAAUUUACAACCACCUUUCUUUGGUUCGAUCUCUUCCCUUAGAUUAUAUAGAGGCUCACCACUAGUGAAGGCAAGAAGAGGAAAAGGAGGCACACUUGGUCCAUAAACUCACAUGCCUUUCCCCUUCACUAACGCAUGUAAUCAUGCUCCAUAAUAUUGGUCACGCAUCCACGCAUGUAACUACGUGUCAUCGUUGCCUGGUCACAGUUCCAACAACUUCUAACCAUCUCCUAUAAUUUUUUAAGGUCAUUUUCAAACACAUAAUGCACUGGAUUGCUUAUUUUAAAUAUUUUUUUAAUAUUGUUAUUGAUACUUGAGUAAAUUAUGAUGAAAUAUUUGAAGUUUUGGGGUUCAUGCCAUUACAUAGCAAUCUCAAGGGAUAUGAAGUCACUGGAGAUUUAUUUUUUGAGGUGUAAUAAGAUUGGAAUCAAUACUCCUUGAUGGGUUUAUGAGGAUGUGUUGCAAUAAGAUUAUCCUAUGUGUAAUUAUGUGACCUAGGUGUGGAAUGUCAUGCGUAGAUGUGUAAGUUUUCUUAUUACAAAAUUUGUGAUUUUAUCAUAUUAAGUAAAUGGUAUGAUUAUAUGUGUUCUUCCUUUUUCUUGUGUGGUUAUAUGUUGAAUUUUUGUUUUAAUUAAAGAAUCAAUCCAAGGUGAUAUGGUUCUUAAAAGGGUCAUGUCUUUAGGAUGUUAAAACUUGUUAUAUAUAUAUAUAUAUAUAUAUAUAUAUAUAUAUAUAUAUAUAUAUAUAUAUAUAUAUGUUUGCUUUCACAUUUCUUUAUCAAAGAAUUAACCUAGAGGUGGUAUGAUCCUUAAAUGGAUCUUAUCUUUAGGAUGUUAAGUUAGUGUAUAUGCCCUGUAGCCAAUCAGUUAAUUAUAUGUGACAUUAACUUUGUUUAUGUAAAUAUAUUUAACUUAUUAAUAAAGGCUUAUUUAUCUAUAAUAUUUAUAAAAUAUUUUUAUUAAUGAAUCUAAUAUUUGAUUAAUGAAUCUAAAGUAAAGAUAAAGUUCUUAGGACAAAAAUCAUUUGCAAAGAAAAUUAUAAAGUUAUUAUAAUUAUGGGUUUUCUAUUGCAUCAAAGCAUUGUUCUUAAAUGUUCCUAGUCAACGCCCUCUUAAGACUGGAUACUAAUUAGAACUAUUGAGACUAAUACAUAUAAUGUUCUUUCUUUUAUGAAAGAAAACAGUUGUUCUCAUAAGAUGAGGUAUGAGGGAUACCUAAAACUAAUAUACAGGUGUUUGUCGAAUGACUUGUAUACUAAACCAACCCACAUAAGAAUUUUAUAAGGGAAAAUCCCAUGUGAUGGUUGUGUAAGUGAUCCUUAGACUUGAGAUCACUAAGUUAUCUUAUAUAUGACUUUCCUAACAUUUGGGGGAGCAUGAUAGGUUACUUGACAUUGUACUUGAUCUUCAAAUAUAAAUCAAUUAAUUAUUGGAUUGAUAAUAAAUUAAUUUGUUUAAUUUAUUUAAUCCUAUUUCAUUUAGGAUUAUGAUUUAUAUUUGGACCAACUUAUUGGGAACCUAAUGGGUUACACACAUAAGAACCUUAGUGAAAAAUAAAAAUGAGAUGAUUAAUUAAGUGUGACUUAAUUGUAAAUAAAUUUUAGAAAUUACGGCUUAGAAUGUAAUUCAUAUAAUAGAUUACAAUUCUAGACCUAAAAAAAAUCAUGUAAGGACUUCAUUGAAUAAAUUUAUAAAAUCAUCCUAAAAUAAUAUAUGUGAUAUUAUUUAAGGAGAAAAUUGAUAAUUUGUUAUUUAUAGAGUUUUUAGUUUUUCCUAUAAGUUCAUAUAGAAGGGUAUUUGAUCCUUUUGAUUAUGAAUCAUAUGAAAUUUCUAAAGCUUAUUUAUUGGGUAAGAUAGCCAAAACACCAUUUUAUUGAAAGAGUGAAAAAUCUAAUGAAUUGUUAGGUCUAAUACAUACAAAUAUAUAUGAACCAAUAAUGAUUUUGCUAUGGAUGGAUAUACAUGUUUGAUCAGUGAUGACCAUAUUGGACAUGAUCAUGUGUAUUUGAUGAAAGUCUCAAUCAUUUGAAAGGUUCAAAGAAUUCAGAUAAAAUUAAAAAAAAAACUAGUAAGAGUAUUAAUAUACUUCAAUCGGAUCGAGAUGGUGAAUACUUCAGCCAAGACUUUCAAGAUUAUCUAAAAGAGAAUAAGAUUCUCUUAUAAUGGAAACGUUUUGAAAGGAGAAAUUGCACACUAUUAGAUAUGAUGUUGUUCAUGAUGAGCUAUACAAACUUUUCACCUUUCUUUUAUAGCUAUACCCUUUAAACUACUACUUAUCUUUUAAAAAGGAUUUCAUCAAAAUAUAUUGAUAGAGAUCUAUAUGAGACAUGGAAUGGUAAGAAAUCAAUCUUAUCAUACUUAAAAGAUUUGUGAUGAAAUGCUUAUAUGAAGCGUAUUGUAUCUAAAAAUCUAGGAGCUAAGUUAGAUAAAUACAAGUUUAUAGAAUAUCCAAAAAAACUAUUGGAUAUUAUUUAUAACAUCCCGUUGAGCAAAAGUAUUUGUCUCAAAACUUGCGACUUUUCUAGAGAAAGAAUUUGUUCUUUAAAGGAACAAUGAGAGUAAAAUAGAACUUGAAGAAGUUUAAGAAUCACAAACUGACAUCCAAAUAGAACCUAAGCUUGAUGCUAUAAUAUUGGAUGUUCAACCUAAAGCUUAAUAAACAUAAAAACUCCAUAGAUUUGGUAGGACAUGUCAUGCACCAAUGAGAUAUGGACUUCUCAUGAAAGCUGAAAGUAAUGAGUUGCUUAUACUUAAUGAGCCUGCCUAUUACAUGGAACUAAUAUCUGAUAUUGAUUCUAAAAAAUGGUUUGAGGCCAUGAAAUCUUAAUAAACAUAAAAACUCCAUAGAUUUGGUAGGACAUGUCAUGCACCAAUGAGAUAUGGACUUCUCAUGAAAGCUGAAAGUAAUGAGUUGCUUAUACUUAAUGAGCCUGCCUAUUACAUGGAGUUUUAUGUGUUGCCAAAGGUUACAAAACAAAGACAAAUGGGUUGACUUUAAUGAAACCUUCUAGUCGGUAACUAUGUUAAAACCUAUACAGAUUUUUUUUUGUUAUAUCUACAUGCCAUAAUUAUGAAAUUUGACAAAUGGAUGUCAAAAAUGUAUUUUUAUAUAGGAAAUCUUCAAGAAGAUGUGUAUGUGACACAACUUGAAAGUUUUGGAUAUGAAGAAUUUAUCAAUAAAUUAUGCAAGCUAUAAAAAUCCAUUUAUGGACUUAAGCAAGCUUCAAGGAGUUGGGAUAUCCAUUUUGAUGAAAUAAUCAAACAAUUUGAUUUCAUCAAAAAUAUAAAUAAGCCUUAUAUUUAUAAAAAGGUCUGUGGGAGUAGAGACGUUUCCCUAAAAUUAUACAUACACAACAUAUUAUUAAUAGGAAAUGACAUUUCUUUACUCUAGUUAGUCAAGAUCUAGUUGUCUAAGAAUUUUUCCAUUAAGGAUAUAAAAGAAGCAACCUAUAUACUAGGAAUAAAGAUCUAUAAAGAUAGAUCCAAAAAAGUUACUUGUAUUGUUAUAAUCCAUGCAUAUAGACAAAAUGCUGAAAUGAUUUAGCAUGGAAGAAUAAUAAAAAAAGAUAUUUAUCUAUAAGAUACACCUCUACAAGGAUAUGUGCCCUAAAACAUAAAUUGAGAUAGAUAAAAUGGAAAUGACAUCAUAUACUAUGGAUAUAAGAUUCAUAAUAUAUGCGAUGCUAUGUACAAUACCAGGUGUAUCUUAUGCUUUGAGCAUAACAAGUAGAUACCAAUCUAAUGCACGUGAGAGUCACUGAAAGAUAGUUAAAAAUAUUCUUUAAACACUUAAGAAGAAUUAAAAAAACAAUUCGGUUUAUAGAGGAGAUGAACUAGUAGUUCAUGAUUAUUUGGAUGCUAGUUUUCAAAAAGAUAUUGAAAAAGAAAUUCAGUCUAAUUAUAUUUUACUUUAAAUAAUAGUGUUGUAAGAUGAAAGAGUAUCAAAUAAGAGACUAAAGUAAAGUCUACAAUUAUAGUUGAGUACACCUCUAUUUUUGAGGAGACAAGAGAUGUUGUUUGAAUCAAAAAGUUCAUUACUAAACUAGAUGUGGUUUUUAGGAUUGUUGAUCUAGUAGCCCUGUACUAUGAUAACAAUAUAGCCAUUACAUAAAAAAAGAAACCAAGGCCUCAUCAAUGAUCCAAAAAUACACUUAGAUAAUUCCAUUUUAUUAGAGAAUUAUAGAAAGAAAAUAUGUAAAGAUAGAGCGAGUAUCUACUGAAGAGAAUCUUGUAAAUCCUCCUACUAACCCACUAUCCCAGUAAAAACAUUAUCGACAAAUAAAACGAUAUGGUAAUUGAUACAUGAGGGAUUGGUUUUAAUGCAAGUGGAAGAUUGGUAGUGUAUAUGCCUUGUAACCAAUCAGUUGGUACAUAUGACAUUGACUUUGUUCAUGUAGAUAUAUUUAACUUAUUAAUAAAGGUUUAUUUAUCUUUAAUAUUUAUCAAAUAUUUUAUUAAUGAAUCUAAUAUUUGAUUAAUGAAUCUAGAGUAAAGAUAAAUUCAUUAGCACAAAAAUAUUUUGUAAAAUAAAUUAUAAUAUUCUUAUUGCAUCAAAGCAUUGUUUCUAAAUAUUCUUGAUCAAUGCUUUAUUAAGACCGGACAUUAAUUAGUGCUAUUGAGAUUGAUACAUAUUAUGUUCUUUCCUUUAUUAAAGAAAACAGUUAUUCUCAUAUGCUGAGGUAUGAGGGGUAUCUAGAACUAAUAUGGAAGUGCUUGUCAGAUCACAAGUACAUUGAACAAACCUGUAUGAGAAUUAUAUAUGGAGAGAUAACAUGUGUCUAUAAAAAAGCUCAUGUGAUGAUUGCGUGAGUGAUCUUUAGACUUAAGAUCACUAACUUAUCUUAUAUAGAGAGUGUUAUAUUUUGAUCUUACUAAACAUUUUCCUAAUCAAGGGUAACAGAUGAACAAAUAUUAGGUAGAACACAAACUAUAUGAAGGUAUUUAAGAAAUCAAGAGAAGAUUUUUCAUCCUAGUGGAUUAGGGAAAGUUUUCAUUCUGUUCUCAAAUAGUGUUCAUUGUAAAUCCUUGUGUAAAGUGGAAUGAGAUUUGUAUAGAGUUUCAUAUCUUAUUCAAAUAAUCAAUGACUAUGAUGUUAAGAACAAACAUGAUUUGAUAUAGUAGACACACUUCAUGCUAUAAUAUUUAAAUUGGAACAUUGUUGAUGAAGGGAUACUAAUUACAAUGAGAAACUGGUCAUUGAAAGGUUAAGUCAAACCACUUAUGACUUUUUUAAACAUUUAGGGGAUCAUGACAAGUUGCUAGAUAUUGUACUUGAUCUUCAAAUAUAAAUCAAUCAAUUGUUGAAUUAAUAAUGAAUUAAUUUGUUUAAUUUAUUUAAUCCUAUUUUAUUGAGGAUUAUGAUUUAUAUUUGAGCCAAAUUAUUAGGGAACCUAAUAGGUCAACCAUUGGUCAGAAAUUAAAAUGAGAUGAUUAAUCAAGUGUGACUUGAAUAUAAAUAAAUUUUAGAAAUUGAGGCUUAAAAUGUAAUUAAUACAAGGGAUUACAAUUCUAGACCUAGAAACAUUCAAGUAAGGACUUCAUUGAAUAAAUUUCUAAAAUUAAUCUAAAAUAAUAUAUGUGAUAUUAUUUAAGGUAAAAAUUGAUAUUUUAUUAUUAUUGCGUUUUUAGGUUUUCCUAUAAAUAAAAAAGCUAUGCCUCUUAUUUUUUAAGGGUGAGUACAUAAACACCUAAAACACAAAAGAAAAGAGCUUCCAUUCUAAGGUAUAACAAUCCCUCUCUCUUAAAAGGGUUUAGAAGAUUUUUCACUAGUGGUUUGUGUAGAUUACCGUUAGAGAUCGGACAACUGGAUGACUUGUGGUUUGGGAUAACUCAACCUUAUAGCAAAUAUUCAAAGGUGAAAAUAACAUUUGAUCUUCAGGUAAUCUUCGUAUAAACCCUAAACAACUCUAGAUCUAUCUAACGAGGUUCUAGAGAAUCCUAAAAGAUUUUUAAAUUUUCUAUUUCUGUUAUGUAUAUAUGUUCCGAGAAACCUGAUGGUUAAGACUUUGUUAAUUUAUUAAAAAAAAAAGAGUUUGUUAAAAUAUACUAUUUUUCAAGUGAAGUUGUAAACGAUUUCAUAAGAUUGCAAACAUGGAAGAUAUAAAGAAUGCAAUUUGAAUAAUAAAAAGUAUUUAAUAAUUCUUCUAUUUUUUAAUUUUAAUUAAUAUCUCUCUCUUAUUUUUAAAAUUAUUUAGUUUAAAUUUUUUAAUAGUAAUCUUUUUUUUUAGAUUGUUUUUAUAAUUUCACAUUACCUUAAAUAGAUUAUUGUAACUUGUUUUAAUUUUCUUUCUUGUAAAUUGUACUUGCAUGAUGAAUAUAGAAGAACAAAAUUAAUUUAAAAUCCUAUUUGCAACCUAAUCAAAGGCAGUAUCUUCCAUAAAUGCAAGAUUACAAUAUUAGUUCAAAGGCAGUAUCUUCCAUAAAUGCAAGAUUACAAUAUUAGUUCAAAGGCAGUAUCUUAUAACGGAACGAAAUAAAAAGAUAGAUUACAAGUACAAAAUAUUGGGCCAUUAAUUAAAAGAUGUUGAGAUCCAACUAAUUAAAAGAUGUACAUAUUUUCAAUACAAUUAAAACAUUUGAGGUGGAAACACUGUUUCUAUAAAAAAUAAACCACCCCAAUUUGUUUUCUUUCAUUCAUUCACUUCUUUCUUUUCUUUUUGAUAGGUUUUUUUUUUUUUAAUUUGCAUCCUUCUUUUAUCUUUUAUUGAAUCUUUUUAUUUUUCAUUUAACAAUUAUAGUUUAAUUUUAUAAAAUUAAUACUUGCUAAAUCAUGAAAUGAUUUUUGAGUUAUUACAAAAAACAUUUUGAAAACAAGGAGAAUUCACUAUGCACCUAAUCAUAGAUUAAUAUUCACUACAACAGUGUAAUUAAAACUUUGCCGUUUUAAAAAAAUCAGUAGUCUUAGUGUUAGGGGUAAAAUGAUUUUUUAAGAGUUCAUUAGUCAUUAUGAAAUUAAUUGGAGGUAAUUUAUUCUUUUUAUCUUUUAAAUGCACAAUGUGAUGAUUAUAUUGCCCAAAAAAAUUAUUUUACAAUGUUGCAUGGUAGUAAUUCAGUCAUUUUACGUUUGGUACUAUGUAAAGACUGUAUUCCUUUACAAGAAAAAAAUGAUUGAACUUACAUAAAAUGACUUUUUUAUCUUUUCAUAUUGAUUUUUUUAUAAUAAACAAGUUCACAAGGAGACAAUUUGAUUUUUUAAAUUAUAUAAAUAUUAUUAAAAAACAUUGUUGGCGCAUACCGGCAAGUGCCUCAUCAUCCUUUUCCAUUAAUGCCACACAUUCGAUGACGUGGUGGUUGAGCUUUGAUAGACUUUUUUCUUUUUAUCCCUCUUCUUUCUCUCUUCCCCUUGCUAAAAAAUAAAUGUAUCAUUUACUUUGUUUUUUGUUUUCAAAUCGACCUUCAUUCUUUUGAUUGCUUUUUGUUUUUUUUUCCAUCUUUUUUUCAUUGAUUUGUUUUUUAAUUUUUCCCUUCAUCAUUUAUUUUCAUUUAAUUUUUAUUUCAAAUGGGGUCUUCAUUCUUUUUACUAAUGUUUUUAUUUUUAUUUUUAUUUUUACUCAUUUUCCUAAUUGAAUUUGGUUUUCAAUUUCUUCACUCAACAUUUGAUUUCAAAUUAUUUUUAUAUUCAUUUUUGUCCCCAUUCUUUUAAUUGUAAUUUAUUUUAUUUUGAAUCCUUUUUUAUUGUAAUUUAUAAUAGCUGCCCACAAUGUUUUGGUUUUCUUUUACUUUUCUAUUCCAGAUUUAAUCUUUUCACAUUGAAUUGACUUAAGAUUAAGUUUGAUAUUUCGUUUUAGUUUGUUUUAUAUGGAGAUCUCGCAAUGUUAGAAAUAAAUUUUAACAUUAAGUUAAUGCUUGAUUUUAAAAAAUAAAACUCAAUUUUAUUGAUUCAAAUUAAUUAAAGUUUUAGGAACUCAGUUUCAAACUAAAACAAAUAUUCUACAUCGAUUUUCUUAGAAUUUUUUUUUAUGUCAGCUUUUUAACUUAAUUUUUAGUUGGGAUCAAUAAAUUUGUUGUCAUUUAAUGGCGCAUAUAAUUUUCAAUUUAUUUUACUGAAAAAAACACACAUACACACACAAACAAAUAUAUAUAUAUAUAUAUAAAAUUUUUAGUUUGAAGUUAAGAUUUUUAGAUUUUUCUCAUAGAAAAAAAUAUCAUCAACAGUGUCUACAUCUUUUUUGUUGCAUUGAAAAAAAAUACUUGAUCCCGCGGCGCACCAUGAUCAAUCAAACAAGUUGUUAUUAAAUAUAAUAAUUUUCAAUUCUGUAUGGAUUUUCGAUUGCGUCAUACACAGUCCCCGAAUUAAAUUGCUUUAAAUUUGAGUACCGCUCAACCGAUCUAUCAAUUCAUUGUACCAAUUUCAUGGGAGAAAGCAUUUGUGGAUGCGUAAUUAUGCCUAACUUCCAACUUCUAACAAGAGUGUUGUCAACAUAUUAAGCAUGUUGCUUUUAGCACAUAAAAAGGAAAAUGUUACAACACAUAUUUUGGCAUCUUAUGAUGUCUUUAGAUAAAUUUUAUGAUGUCUUUAGAUAUUAAAAAAAACAUUUCAAGUUAAUAAUUUAAGUUGUUAGGUGAGGUUUUAAAAUUUAAGUUGUUAGGUGAGGUUUUAAAAUAUAAUUUAUAUUAUUCUCUAACCCAUAAUUUCUUAAGUAAAAGCUCUCUAAACUUGAAACUUGCACAAGUUUUCAUUACUUUGUACUUAAUUUUUAUCAAAUAAAUGGGGAUAACAAGAUUCGAACUCGUGAUCGCUUGGUUAUCAAGGCUCUGAUACCAUGUUAAAAAACCAUCUUAACCUAAUAAUUUAACCUUUUAGGUGAGGUCUCAUGAUAUAAUUUAUAUUAUUUUUUAAUAUUAAAUAAUUUAAAACAUGUUUGGAAAAUAAAAAGAAUAUAAAGUUCCUAUCAUCUAAGAUAGAAAACUUACGACUCAAUUCUCAAACAAAUAAUUAAUUUUUUAAUUCGAUGAUAAAAUGUAUUUUAAGUUAACUAAUACGUCAAUCAAAAUUAACUUUCUAUCAACCGCAUAUGGUUUUUAGAAUUCGCCUACUAUAUCAGCUUUAUAUAUUCAAAUGAAUAAAUUUUAUGGAGUAAUUUUCAUGAGUUGGUCCUAAGUCUAGAACUUGAGAAGUUAAAGAAAAAAAAACCCAACAUUUUAACUAUUAGACCUAUCCUUUAAGAGUUAAUAAUAAAAGUUAUUAAAUAUCAUCUUUCUCACUUCUUUUUUUCAUUACAAAAAUUCCUCUUUUUAAUUAUUGAAAUAUUUUUUGAUUAAAUAAUUAAUGAUUUCCAGACAUGGUAACCUACUUAACUAUCAUAUAUAACUAUCAUAUAUUGAGUAAAAGGACGUCCUACUACUAUGAACACCAAUAUAUUUUUUUUUCAAAUUAAAAUGUCUUUUUACGUGAUUUAUAACACUUAAUUUUCGAACUACUUUCAUGAUAUUUUUGAACUAUCAAACAAUAUUUCCAUGAAAAAUAUCUUAUUUUAAACAGGCCAUUUAUCAAAAUCGAAGUUAAAAAUUGAAAAGUUCUACACUAUAGAUUUUAGACCCGAUUGUUCUGGUAAAAAAAAAAGAGGUUCAUUUUUAAUAUAAUAUUUUAAUCAUAUUACAUCUUCAGUUAAGGACUUGAUUUGAUGGUUAAUAUAAUAAACUUCUAAUGAAUCUUUUAAUUUUAAUGUAGAUAAUUUACUUUUGACAGGACCAGAACGGAGUAAAAUUUAUAGUAAUUGAUCAGCAGUUAAAAAGAGGGAAACAAAAUUACGACGUCCAUAGCAUGAACAACUUCAUUGCGUACAAUGUCUCAUCCAUUUUUUUUUUUUUUAGUUUAACGUGGGUGUCUGGGCCAGCUUGCACGUACUUCGACUAAUCUCACGGGCCCUAAAAUUAACGAUCAUGUAAGUCUCCAGUGGCCAUCAUAUGAGCAACCACAAGGCUCGAACCUGAGACCACAGAAAGAGCAAACUUCUUGGUCCCAAGCUUUUACCACUGGACCACCACCUAGAUGGUUCUCAUCUACCUUUUCUUCAUAUUUCAAUAAACGUUUAUAACCUGUGCAUUUUAUGUAAUCUUUCCUGUGAUGGUACUCUUCAUUCUCAAACCAGACAGGGAGGCAAGUGAAUUGUACACCACUAGCACUUCAAGUCUUCAACUACCAGCCAACCCAUACAAGUAAUUAUUAUGUGCAAUAAACCAAGGGGCCCUUCUCAAGGGAACUUUCUAAUGGUAUAUAACUUUCUAAUGGGUGGUUAACAAAUAGUUAUGUAUAAUUUUUUUAUACAACUCAAGGCUGAAAGAGGAGUGGGGUAUCAUCAUUGACAAUAACAACUCAUUAAAUCAACAACAAUUGCUCUAUAACUGAACUAAGUUUACAGGAUCUUUAAAACCUAUUAUAGUAAACUUGUAAUUUUAUAGGCAGAUAAUCAAUAUAUAAUUAGCUUGUAGGCUAAUAAUUUUUAGAUGAUCAGCAGGCUUGUAAUUACAGGCUUGUUAUCCAGUAGGCUUGUAGUUUUAAUUGUAAUUUGGUAGGCUUAUAAUUUCAUUGCCAAAAAACCCAAAAAAUAUCAAAAAAUAUAUUAGUUCAUGUUCUUUUGUUAAGGAAGUGCGUGAUUGUAAUCAAAUCAAGAAUCAUAUAAUGAAUGUAAGUUUGUUUUAUAUCUUGAAUUAUUAAGUUAUUUUUUCGCAUUUAAAGCAUUUAAGUUGUUUAAUUACUCCUCAAGUCUUUAUUUUAUUUAUUACUUCUCAUGUUUAAGUUUUCUUUAUCUAUAUAAAAAAAAGAAUCACAAAAUUUUAAGUCUCACAAUAUUAUCAAAAAUUAUUAAGUUAUUUAGAGAUCACCAGUUUAAGUCUCACAAAUCUCGGAGCUACUGGAAGCUUAUAUGAUCAUUAACUUUAGGGCACAUGAGAUUAAUCGAGAUGCGCGCAAGCUAACCCGGACACCCACGUUAAUAAUAAUAAAAAAUAAAUACUAGAUGAUGUACUCUUUUUUCUGGAUUUGAAUCAAUAUUUACUGAACCUGAGUCUAUUUUCCUAUUUAAAAUUUCAAUUCUCUCUUUUAAAAUUUUAAUUUUACUUAUCACAAUUUAACUUGAAGUAUAAGAAAAAAAAUCUCCUUAAUCAUUAAUACUACAUCUUUAAAUUUAAAUCAAUGAAAAGGUGAUCACAGUUAUUAAAUAAUUAUUGGUUACCUCCAUAAGACAUUUUCUUUAGAAACAGUUAAUUUAUUCUAUAAUUUCUCAAAUUAGUAUUAGUAAUAAGGACUAAGGAGCCACAUCCUAACCUAACCUUUAACCAUUCAAGAGCUGCAGUAAAUUAAAUAUGAAUUACAGUCUCAAUAAUCUUAAUUAUCUUGCAUAUCUUCAGCUGGUUCACACUCCAUGGUAAUCUUUGUUCUUCCUUUUGCAAUCAACUUAAACCACAAAUAUGGAAAGAUUUUCUACAUUGUUUUACAUGCAUUGGAGACUACGGAAUUAAUAUUCAAACUACAUUCAAACACUUACUAAAUUGGGUUUCUUUCAUUUCGAAGCCUUAAUUACGUUCUCUGAUUACUGCAAGUUAUUCUACAUAGCAACAUCAAAUCCCUCUAGAGUCAUCCUUCCAUUGACGUGGAGCUUUAGCCAUGAAAGCUGACCUAUUUUUUCCUGCUAUUAAAGCAUCUUAUCCCCCUUGAUUUGUGACCUACAACCUUACAAUCAAUGUUUUAACAGCGAACUAACAUGGGCAUGUACACUUCAUAAAUAUGUGAUGCGAUCAGCAGUAAACCAUGUAUUUUCUAAACUGAUUAGAACAGCUCAUUGUCAAUCUUUCAAAAAAUUAGCGCACAACAGGGUUCAUAUUUAGAAACCAAAAUGUAUUGCUGCAAUGGAGAUCAAUACUAUUAUUACUGGCUGUUGUCGUGUCUAUGUAAUAUGACCAGUAAUAGGUCCUUGUAAUUGCCAGAGGUGAGGGUUGUGGUGAAAAGAGAGGACAUUGUAAGCAAAUAACCCCUUGCCAUGAAAUGUGAAUUAAAGUGUGAUUAAGGGAGGAGAAACAAUCAAUACCUAUUAAUGAGUGUUGUGAGUUGUACUCAACUAGGUUAUUAGACCCGGCCGGUACACGCCUGGAUUGUGGAUUUGUUGUGUCAAUCCCAGAGCAAUAUUGUUUAAAGUUUUUUGUUUUUUUAAAAAACAAAUAAAACAAUGAUGUUUUGAAUAAAAAUUAAAAAAAAAAUUCUUAGAAUUAACCCGAUAGGUCUCACCUAGGUUUGGUCAAGUUAACUAGAUCAAUCGAGUUCAACAAGGUCAACCUCCAAAUAAAUUUAAAAUAAAACCUGGCUUGGGCAUGACUAUAAGUGACUGAGUCACUAGGUGAACUUCUUGGGCCAUAUUUUAUAACUAUGGUACUCAAUAAUCAAUGAAUAUUAGAUAUGAGUCAAAACGCAUUAUUUAGCGAGUUUGGUUGGUGAUAUAACCACUUUAUAAGAACAUAAAGGUUUUGAGUAGCCAGAUAUAAACUUGCCACCAACGAAUCAUAUAAACAGCCUAGAAAAAUAUAUUUAUGGACUAGUGGGUAAGCUAAAUUUAAAAAGAGGUCUGGUUGCACACACCAACAACCUAAAAAUAAAAAAUAAUAAUUUUCAAUUCGAUUGUUGGAUUAGGUUUAAAUAUUUUCAGGUGAUUCUCAAGGCCUAAUUCUACUAUAAAGUCAACACACUUACACUAGCCCUUUUCUGGAAGACCUCCAGAUUAGGCUCUAAAGAUACUGUUUGAGCAAAUUUUUUAUUUUUCCUUGAGUUGUUUGGAUUUUAUGUUAUUUUUGGAUUUUUUUACUAGUUUUCCAUUUAGUUUGGGAUUAUGGCUUUUUUUCCUUGUUAAUGUUAAUUUCAGGCCUAUUUAAAGAUUAGUAAACCUUCUUGAAAGGCAAAACUUAUUAGACUUUUCUUUCAUAAGUGAAACUAUAAAUUAGAAUUCUUGUUAUGUGUUGUGAUGUCGCGGUCGCACAAAUUAAUUAUCCUAGCUUCAAACAUAACACACAAGAUAGUAUAGAGCAAGCAAGGAGUUGAUCCCACGAGGAAGGUUCAAGUCAGAUUUUUAUGCUAGAUGAUAUGCAAUUUAGGGGGGGUUGAAUGUUAUCUAGGCUAAAACAAAAGAAAACAGAAAACUAUCAAACGAAAUUUAAUAAAAUCAGAAAAUUAUCAAGAGAACAAACUUUGGUCGCAAGCACAAAUCCACCUACAGAAAUCAGAACUGAUCAUGGAAACGAAACAUCAAUUUAUAUUCUGAGUAUUUAUCUCUUCUUAACAUUGGUUAGUUAACGGAUCCGCCGUAUAACUAACCAUAACCAUCAAAUAACCAUAGUGUCCGCACUAGUAAUUUAAUUCAAUGGCAGCUUUAAGAACUAGAUAAGUUGAUUAAUCAAGAAAACAUAACUGUCCGCAGUCUAUGUUUGAUUUGAUUGAAUGUUCUCCCUAAGAUUAAUAACGUAGAUCUGCCAUAAUUAUUAAACUCAGUUGCUUCACAAGUUCAUAUACCACAACUCCGGUUUUGAUAUCAAACUUAGCAAUAGAUUGUCUACAAUAAUAACUUAGAGUCCGCUCUAGCAAUUAAAAUAAACAAUCAUAGAAAAAAUAAGCAUAGAAGAACAAACAUAUUCAUCAUAUAAACUGAAAAGAAAGGUAAAAUAAAUCUCACAGUUCUUGAAAUUCGAAGAUUUCCGUGUCCUUGCAACCAAGAAAACGAGUUUAGCCUUGCAUAUUUGUUGAACAACUAAUAAAAAAGAAGGAGGAAUGCAUGAUUUCGGGUUUCUUAGAGGAGGGGGGCAUUUUUCUCCUCUUGGUUGGCUGCCCCCUCUUCUCUUCUCUCAUUCUUUUUAUAUCCUAGAAAGCCCUAGUCUCUAUUUUACAAAAUAGUCAUCCCUUAAGUAAACAGUUUACAUUUAAGUAGUUCAAUAACUAUUUUCCUAAAAAAAGAGAAAUAGUCUUGCAUGAAAUCUUCAAGUUUUGACUUAGAGGAGCUAAAUUGCUGAAAUAAAAACUUGGAUGUUGGUUUAGAUGCUUCGAAACGUAAUUUGGACUCGUUUUUUCACGAAACCUGUUUGCUGGCAGAAUUCAGUUGUCAUCUUUGAAAAAUUUUAUCUCCUUCAUGACAUCGUUUUUUGCUUAAAUUUGGAGCGUUGAUAUUUCUUUGAAUCAGGAAUCCAAAAAAAUUGAGUUUGCAUCAAUUGGACUUCUGUAGCUCCAGAUAUUCAAGUCGUAAUGGCCGAAGGUCAACACUAUCAGAUUGCAAGAUUUGACUUUGAAGGCUGUGAUUUCCAUGCUCUUUCUUAUUUUAUUUUCUUCCCUUAAAUGUCUAGAAAGGUAUGGAUGUUAGCUUUUUAAUGCCACUGGAAUCACUUCAUUUCGACCUUCAAAGCUCACGCUCUGCACAAAACAUCGACUAAAGGUCAAAUCUGUCAAUUACCUCUAAUUUACUCCUUUUUGCAUCUUUCAUCCAAAAGUGCCUUCAAAACAUAAAACAAAGUAUAUGAAGGCAUUUUAUAUAUAAAACAUAGGUAAACAGUAGUUAAAUAUGGGUGAAACUAUCGAAUAAUAUGGUUGCAUCAUUAUGCUAGUCCUAUUUUGUCAAACUAGAUUUUUCUUGUUGUUGUCUUCAUUGAUUUUUUGUUUAUGUCUACAUGAGUUGGCAUUAAAACCCAACGAUCCCUAGUUAUUUUCUUGUUUUGUGCUAUUAAACAACCACAACUGGAAGGGGUCUUUAGUAGAAAGAGAUAAAUGAGGUUCCUUUUUAGAAGAGAAAAGUUAAGGAUGUGGUGAUAGAGAAUAUACACAGGAAAAUCAUAGAGCUUACCCAAUAGUUAGUAGAAAGGACCAAAACCCAUUCCAAAGGCAAGAGUUGAGGAGGUAGCCUCUCGAUCAUGUAGAACAUCAUAGAGAUUUUGAAUUUUUAUUAUUAAAAUUCCUGAUUUUGCAAAAACUUUACAUGCAGAGGAGUUCAUAGAUUGGUUUAACUAGGUUGAAAGAAUUUUUGGAUAGAAGGAGGUUCCUAAAUAGAUACGAGUCAUAUGAUUACGGUUAUAUUUAAGGGUCAUGCUUCUGCCUAGUGGAAACAAUUAAAGAAGACAUGAGAGAGAUAAGAGAAACUAAGAAUCAAUUAUUAGGAAACAAUAAAUAAGAAGAUAAAAGGACCCUUCUUUCUUUUAUGGCUAUGCACAAACCUUGCAUCAAUGUUUCGCAUGCUGAAAUAAGAUGGUAAAUCCCUUAACAAUUAUACUAAUGAUUUUUAUCAAUUAAUGGCAAGGAAUAACUUGGUAAAAAUGAAAGAUUAGCUAGUGACGAGGUAUUUAAGUGGUUUAUGGUAGUCUAUCCAAGAUGUGUUGGGCCUUCAAUCCCUAUAUAUAGUAUCAGAGGAAUAUCAAAGGGUUUUGGUGGUAGAGAAACAAUAGGCUGUUACGACAUUUAGUAAAAAUUUUUGGAUGGAUAAGUACAACUGAGGAGGACACAACAAUACUAAGAGGUCAACCACCCCCUACCUAUACCUACUUAGCAAACUCAAGUGAUAAUAGGUUAGGGUUUUGGUUAAACUUUUAGAAUUUGUUGUUAUAAGUGUGGUGAAUUAGGGCAUUGUGUUAUUAAGUGUAGUAAACUAUUGAGUAACCUGUAAAUGAUAUGGCUUAUUCUAUUCAUGAUGACUCAGAUAGUAGUGGGGAGAUUAUGCGUGGAGAUAAUAUUGCUACCCUAGUCAUUCAAGAAAGUCUACUUACUCUUAUGGGUGAUUCAGGUGAAGAUUGAAGGUUCACUAGCAUCUUUCACUAGAUGUGAACCAUAAAUUAUAAGGUUUAUAACCUAUUUAUUGAUAGUGGUAUCUAUAAGAAUAUGAUGUCUUUGGAGAUAGUGAGGAAGGCCUAGCUAAAAACCAAGAGCCACAUUAAGCCCUACAAAUUGACUUGACUUAAUAAAGCACUAAGGUAAUUAUAGAUAAACUUUGUGUUAUUGGUGUGAUGUGUUGUUAAUGGAUGUGUGCCAUCUUUUGUUGUGAAGGCCUUAAUAUUUUGAUAGGAACAUUGUGCAUUAUAGGCAAAAUAACAAAUACACUUUCAAUAUUAAGGGGAAAUGUAUAGUAUUAGAAUUUAUAAAGGAAAGGGUGGAGAUGAAAACUAAUAAGGGAAAUAGUUUGCAAUCCUUGUCACAAUUUAUAGAGAAGGUUAUCGCUACACACGACACGAGUAAGGCUUUGAAAUGUCCAUCAAAAGAGUCUUGGAAACAUUUUGAAGUCUCCAUUAGUUUUCAAGGAGACUUUGAAUCUCAAAGUAUGAACUAGUUUAAAAAAUUCAAGUAAGGGAUUGUUUAUACAUAAGAGAAAAAAAAUACUUACCAUUUCCUUUCAAACGAAAGGUUACCUUCGCCAUGUGUUUUUAUAAAUUCAUUUUAUAUAUGCCAUCAAUUUUCUAAUUAUUUCUGAACUUAUUUGUAAGUUAUUUAUUAUUGAUGGAUGGUCAUUAAGUUAGCAUCAGACCCUGCAUCAACAGUCUCAUAACUUCACAAAUUCUUGUGAAAGAAGAUGAAAUUAUAGUUGUGUACUAAACCUAUGUUGGUAUCUAAGUUCAAGAAAUUCAUCUACUCAUUUUAAACUUAUUUUGAGGUUAAAAAUAUCGUGUUAGGCCUAUAUUGGUACCUAUAACUAGAAGACAUGUUGACCUAAUUGUUAAAACCCAAGUUUUAUCCAACCAUAACGCUAACUUGAUGAAAAUUCAUAAGUUGAUUCAAAGCCAAUAAAAAUAAAAUAAUAUAUGAGUGAAUAGUAAUAUAUUUCCAAAAAUAAAUAUGUACAUUCAUAUGUAUAUGUAAAAAGAUGAAAGAACAUUUUUACAAAACAAAGAUAACGUGAAAGCGAAGUCAAUGAAAAUAAAUUAAAAUACAUGAAUAAAUAGUAAUCAUGCUUGAAUAGUGGAAUAUAUAUUAUUUGUGUUUUGAAUUAUAACCUACUUUCAAAAAUGAAUUUUUACAUAUACAUGCAUAUGUAAAAAGAAAAAGCACAAUUUUAUGAAAUAAAACUAACAUGAAUGCGAAGACAAUAAAAUAAAAAUGCAUGGAUGAAUAAUAACCAUAAAUGAAUAAUGUAAUGUGCAUUAUUUGGCAUUUUCAACUGUAAAAUCUUUACAAGCCAUAAUAAAGAAUAAGAUAAGAAGUAAAAUAAGAUCAAGCUCACCUUAUAGGUGAUUUUAAGUGAGGAAGGGGGUGUUGUGGUUGGUUAUACUGGUAGAGAUGAUGUUGGUGCUACCAGCGGAGGGGUUUUCAAGUAGUUUUUCUUACAAGAGUCCAAUGAGAAACUUACUUUUUUUUUCCUUUUUCUAUCUCUUUUCUUUCUCUCAUUCUUUCUUACAUCUUAACUCACACAAACUCAAUUUUUAGGUUAAUAAGCUUAUAUUUUUCUUCUAUCUCUCUCUUUAGGUUUCUCAUUUUGUUUUUCUUUUGUUUCAUUUGUUUUUCUCUUUUACCACCUAAACCAAACUAAUUUCAAAAACUCAGCUCAAAACUCUUUUUUCUCCUUUCUCUUUAUUGUUACCUAUUUUUAGGUCCUCACAUAAAAAAAGAGAAAAAAAAUAUAAAAAACAGAGAGGAGGAGAGAACGAAAGAAAAGGAAGAAACAAAGAUAAAAAAAGAGAGAAACAAAAAAAAAAUGAGAUAGAAAGAGAAGGAAAAACAAAAUAAAAGAGAAAAACAUGGGAAAACAUGGGAAAACAAAGGAAGAAAAGAAAAACAGAGAAGAUGAGGGAACAAAAAAUAGAGAGGAGGAAGAAUAGAAAAAAAAACAAAAAAAAAGAAAGAAAAAGAAGAAACUUGUGCCUCUGCACAGAAAGAAAAAACAGCAGCAACGAUCAUUUUUUUCCCUAUCGCCGCUGGAACCACCGUCAUUUUGCCACCAACACCACCAACACCACCGCCAGGUUAGCCUCCCCUUCUUCUUCUUCUUCUUCACUUCACCCCCUGCCAGCUCCACUGUUUACGUGAAUAAUGGAGAGCCAUUGUUCCUGGAUCAGACCAGUGUCGGCCCAGACCAAAACGUCUGGGCUAGUUCCCUUUAAGUAAAGUCUAUUGGGCCAACAUCAGCCCAACCCUUUUUUUGAGCCGUUAUUGGCUCAACCCCUUUUUGGGUUGAUCUCGGCCCAACCAGGAUGGGCUCAGCCCAUAUAAUUGGGCUGGGUCCAACCCAAUAAUAAUAAUAAUAUAAUAAUAUAUAAUAUUAUAUUAUAUAUUAAAUACAAAAACAAACAAAAAAUUUCUAAAAAUUCCAAAAAUCCUUUCAAAAAAUUUGUGAUUUCUCGCGUAUUUUUUUACCGAUUUUGAUUAAUAUUGGUUUGUAUUUUUAUACUGUAAAAAUACAAAUCUGGUAUUAAAAUACCUGAUUUUCUCUGAAAUGUUGCAAUAUAUAUAUAUAUGGAAAAACACAAAAAAUAUCUUGUUUUUAUGCAUACGGCCAAUUCUCUCAAAAUAUAUAUAUAAAAAAAAUAUCUCAUAUCGUAUUUUCAUGCACAAUAAAAUUUAAAAAAAAUGUGUUAGCAUUCAUUUUGAGCUUUAAUAACCAGUUUAAUAAAGCCAUGAGAACUAGGCCUAUAUUUUAAAAAUACCGAAAAAAAUAUUUUGUUUUCUUUUAAUAUCUAGAAUUAUGAACUUAUACGUAAGAUGUAUUCUCAAUAUUAAAUAAAAGGUAGUUCUUUUUUGUUGACAUUGGAACGGUUAGAUUUUUACCCAAUAAGAUAAGAAUCUUUUUACCGAGGAGGACUUUUCUUAAACCUUAGACAGACUAACAAUUAGAAAACACAAUGAUACUCUAGUUAUAUCAGACAAUCAAACAAUGUAGCUCACCUUAAGUAAGGCGUAUUAGAGGUGUUAAUACCUUUUCUUUACGCUACGAGUCCUCGUGCCCGAUCUCUGAAACCAGUUAGGAUUCCUAGUAACCAAAAGACUAGGUGGCAACUCUAAUUCCCUCUUUCCACUGAUAAAGAAAAAGAAUUCCUUGUCCUGUCCAUUUCCCCACACCACAUACUACAACAUGGAUAUUCAAAAAGGAUGUUCGCCGCGACACUGCACCAUGACAUGCGACACUAUUUAUUUAGCAUUUUCACUUUUUAAUUAUGGGUCUAUCUUUCUUCUGUAUUUAAAGCGAGGGGGAAUGCUUCUAUAAGCUCCACUAGUUGACUUGAUCGGGAACAUUAGUUUAUUACGAUGAAUCUUAACCCUAUAGGUCACCUUUUUAUUGGAAAAAGCUUGAAUGACUGGCUUGCUUUAUCAUUCUUUCGUGGUGGUUUCAUGAGCAUUUUUAAUAUGGGGAUAAACUAUGGUGAGAGAAGGUAUGUAAUGGAAGAAAAUGGAUGGGCGAUACUGAUACGAACCCCAAGGAUAUACAUAUUUAGAAACCCACAAUCAAAUUGACUUUGCCUAAAAAAGAUAAAUUUAGGCUUAUGAUUGAGCUUAACACAAUGAUAACAUGUGCCAAGGCACCAAGAUUAUAAGUAACCAACCAUUAACCAACGCAUAUGAAGAGACGUGAAAGAGAAGUAUAAAAGAUGUCAGGAAACUUGGUUAAUUCUUUGAUAAAUUAUAGUUCAAUGAAAAACCAAAAACAAAUAUGAGCAAAACCUCUCACACACUAUAAUAAUUCUUGAAAUUAAAGUCUGUAAAAAAAACUUAAAUACAAGCUAAAUAACCCUAUUUAUAAUAGGUAAAAAUAUCCUAAAAAAUUCUGAAAAAAAAUAUUAAAAGAAUGUGAAAAAUAAUCAUAAAUCAAUUAGAAAAGUAAUACAAUUCUCACACAUUAGCUUCUAGACCUUAUCGUAAGGCCUUCUUGAAGCUCGAUUUCCCUAAAAUAUUAACCCAAUAUAGAACAAGAUCUUUAGAAACUUCUGGUAAAAUUUUACCCCAAUCCAAAGGUCAAAUUGAAAAUUAUUCUUAUUAGGGUAAAAAAUAUGCAUUAUGAAAAAUAAGCUCAAAACUGCCUCUAAUAUUGAAAUUAAUUAGCUCACCAUUGCAAAAUAAUUAGGCAUGUGUUAUAGAUGGAUCAAGCCUCUCUUGUACAUAGAUUAAAUUGAUUAAGGCCUGAUCAUCACUUAUUGAAGCUAAAGACUUCUUAAAAUUCAUCUUGGCUCAAAUACUCCGAAUAAACCCAUUGAAUGCAUAUUUGAGCUUUUUUUGCCUUUAAUCUUCCAAUUAGACCAAUUGGAACUUGCAAUGGAUCUUUUGGUGUAAUCUUGAUCAUAUCAUCCCCUUUCUCCUCAAAAUAAUUCAUCCAUGAAUUAUCACCUACGUCAGACAAAAAGAGAUUAGAAAUAUUAAAUGUAACACAACACCAUCCUCUCCUAGUAGAUCCUCUUUGCAAGAAUUGUAAUUAAUUCUUUCAAGGAUUUGAAAUGGUCAAUCUCCUCUUGGUAUCAAUUUAGAUCUUCUUUGUUCAGGAAAUCUUUCUUGUUUUUAUAUUCACUCAAACCCAAUCACUUUGUUAAAAAAUAACCCUAUUUCAUCCUUUAUAGCUUUGAAUACAUAUUGCUCAUUCUUUUUUGUAUUUCUCAUCUCACAUUCUCAUAGAGAGCCUUUAUUACAUGUGUUUUUUUAUUGCCAUCAAGACUGACCUUUUUAUUAAUAGGUAAAGGAAACAAAUUCAAAGGAUUAAAGCCAUAAAUAAUUUUAAAAAAAGAAUAAUAAGUAGUAAAAUACACUGUUAUUAUAAGAAAAUUUAGUAAAUGACACACAAUCUUUCUAAUUUUUCAAAUUCUUUUGAAUAAUAGUUCUUAACAAUGUAGUUAAAGUCCUAUUAACUAUUUUAGUUUGACCAUUUGUUUGUGGAUGACAAGUAUUAAAAAAUAAUAAUCUUGUUUUUAAUUUUCCCUAUAAAACCUUCCAAAAGUAGUUUAGAAAUUUAACAUCAUGGUUAGACGAAAUGCUUAUAUGUACCUCAUGAAACCAAACUAUUUUUCUAAAUAAUAAAUUUGUUAUGUUAGUUGCAUCAUCGGUUUAUGAUAAAAUAUCAAAUGUGUCAUUUUAGAAAACUUAUUCACAACAGCAAAAAUAUAAUCCUUACUUUUUUUUUUAUUUGAGCAAACCUAAAAUAAAAUCCAUAGAUAUAUCAAUCCAAGGUUCAUUAGGCACUGGUAAAGGAGUAUAUAAACCAUGAGACAAGACUUUAGACUUAACUUAUUUACAUGUUAUGCAUCUAUCAUAAAUUCUUUACGCAUCUCUUUUCAUCUUAGGCCAAUAAAAUUGCUCGUGCAAAAUAUCUAAAAUCUUAGCAACCACAAAAUGUCCCAUUAAUCUACCCUCAUGAUCUCCAUAAAUUGUCAAUUCAUGUGUAGAACAAUUAGCUUUCCUUGGCCUAUAAGAUAUUUCAAUAACUGAUGAUCAGUAUGGAUAACGGACUUCUUAGACCACAACUAAUGUUGUCAAGUUUUCAAAGUUCUUACCAAAGCAUAAAACUCUUUAUUAUAAGUAAGAUAAUUCAAUGUUGCACCAUUGAGCUUUCAACUAAAAUAAGCUAUGAGUCUUUUUUUUCUGCAUUAAAACAGCUCCAAUACAUCUGAGGCAUCACAUUCAAUCUUAGAAGUUUUCAUUAAAUUAGGCAACGAUAAAAAUGAAGCCAAAAUUAUUUUUUCCUUUAAUAAAUUAAAAGCAUGCUUUCUUCUAUACACCAUUUAAAACACAUAAAUUUCUUAACUAUCUUAGUUAAGGUUAUGGUUAGAGUAUUAAAAUCCUUAAUAAAUCUCCUAUAAAAACUAGUCAAACCAUGAAAACCUCUUACUUUAAUGAUUGACUUAGAUGUAGGCCUUGAUAGUUUUAAAUCUUUCCUCAGCCAUAUCAAUAUCGUUUGCACUAACAUAUCCAAGAAAUACAAUCUUUUCCAUGCAAAAGUUAUACUUUUUUAGAUUAACAUCUAAAUAUUAUUUUCACAAAAUAACAAUACAUUCCUUAAAUGUUCAACAUGCUCAUCUAAAUGCUUUCUAUAAAUCAAAAUAUCAUCCAAAUAAACCAUAAAAAACUUUGCUAUAAAAUUACGCAAAACAUGAUUCAUCAAUCUCCUAAAAGUAGUAGGUAUAUUAGUAAGUCUAAAAGUCAUAACUAAGCUCUCAUAUAAAUCAUAUUUAGUUUUAAAGGUAGUAUUCCAUUCAUCUGCCUCUUUCAUUCUUAUUUGAUAAUAUCCACUUUUCAAAUCAAUCUUAAAAAACAUAUAAGACAUAUGCAAUUCAUUUAACAUAUCAUCAUGUUUAGGAAUUGGAUGUCUAUACUUUAUCAUAAUAUUGUUGAUGACAUGAAAAUCAAUACAUAUUCUCUAAGUCCCAUCCUUUUUAUGGUAUUAACAAUAUUGGAAUUACACAUGGACUUAUGCUUUCUCUUAUAUACCCUUUUGUCAUCAAUUCUUCCUCUUUCCUUUGAAGUUCAUUUGUCUCCUCGGGAUUACUCCUAUAUGCUGACCAAUUCAGUAUAGAUGCUCUAGAUACAAAAUCAAUUUGGUGCUCAAUUCCCCUAAUAAGUGACAACCCACUAGGAAACUCAUCAGGAACGAUGUCCUUAAAAUCAUAUAAUAAAAAAACACAAACAGUAGGAAUACAAUGAUUGAGGUCAUUAAUAUUAAAAUCAUACACAAGUAAAAUUAUAGGCAUGUUAUAAAAUAAGCAUUCUUAAUCUCACUUCUCUUUGCAUAAAACCUAACAUGUUUCAUUUUUUUUUUUGCACACUCUCUUCAUUUAUCACACUUUUUUUCUUCUCUCCUCUUUUGGGUGAAUCCCUAUUAAUUCCUAUUUUGGCCUAUCUAACCUUCUUCUCUCCCAGCUUAUUUUAUUUUCACUCUUUCUUAUAUCCUCACAUGGUUGAUCAUUUAUUUUGGUCUUCAUAAACUUGUCUAAGAGACAAUAGUACAAGUGUGUAUGUCUUCUUAUCAUUUUUAAAGGAAUAAUUGUUCUUAAACCUAUCAUGCUUGGUUUUCUUAUCAAAUUUCCAAGGUCUCCCCAACAAUAAACAACAAUAAAUGAGUAGCGAUACACGCUACUCAUUUAUUGUUGGGGAAUAUGAUCUCCUUUUGUUGCUUUACAUGAUCCUUAUAUUUAAAAAAAAAACAUUACUUACUUAGUAACUCUUAUUUCUCCACAAUCAUUUAACCAUUGAAAUCUAUAAGGCCUUUCAUGUUUAAUAGUUUUCAAACUCAAUUUUCUAACAAGAAUAGUACUAGCAAUAUUAGCACAACUUCCAUUGUCAAUAAUCAUACUACAUACAUUAUUAUUUAUGUGGCAUCUAGUAUGUAAUAUGUUCUCCUUUUGUUGCUUUACAUCAUCCCCUUUAAUAUGUGUAUUAAGUGAUCUUAUAUUCAUCAAAGUCUCUCUAUUAAUUGGAUACUCAAUAUCACUAUAGUUCUAAAGUGAUAGAAUCUCUUCCUCUUGGAUUUAACACUUUCAGAUUCAAUGUCCCCAUGCUUCUUCAUAAUCAUAAUCCUUUUAUUUGAACAUUGUGAAGCUAUAUCAUCACUCUUGAAACACCUAAAACACUUAUAUCACAAUUAUGAUUAGAUGGGAUCUUAGCUUUACCUUUUAUUUUAGUGGUCAAAUCUUUCCUCCAAGCCUUAGAUGGUUCAUCUUUGUUGCCCACGGUAUUCAACUUUGAUGAGGCACCCCUUCUCUCCUAUAAUUCAACCUACAUGCUGAAAAUGAGUCCAAAUUACCUCUUUGACAUGUAUUGCCCUUUCUUUUCAACUGUCUCUCUAUAUUGGUAGCUAUAUGAACCAUAUCUUCUAGUUCAACAUAGUGCUACAACUCAACCAUAUUAGCUAUUUCUCUAUUUAAUCCAUUCAAUAACCUUGUCGUUAUAGCUUUUCUAUCCUCUAUAACAUUAGCUUUAAUAAUGACAAUCUUCACUUCCUUGUGAUAAUCUUUUAUUCUCUUAGAACUUUAAGACAAACUCUACAAUCUUUGAUAUAGUUCCCUAUAAUAAUGACCAGGAACAAAUAUAUUUCUCAUGAUGGCUUUCAUCUCAUCCUAAUUAUCUAUAAGUAUCUUUUUGUUCCUCCUCUUUUCCAAGACAAGUUGAUCCCACCAAACAAUAACAUAGUCAGUAAACUCAAUAACAAUAAGUUUUACUUUCUUUACUUUACAGUAAUACUGAUAGUAAAAAAGUCAAUUCCACUUUCUUUUCCACUCCAAAUAAGCUUCAGAAUUGUUUUUGCCUUGAAAAGCCAUACUCAUCAACUUAAUACUACCCAAAUCUCUAUCCAAAUCAUCCCAAAAUCUAUCUUUCCUAUCUACUCUUUUAUGGCUGAAUUGCUCAAGUAGUUGAACUCCCAUAGGCCUUUGGUUUCUAUAUGAUUGAAACCUAUCAUUGUGGUUAUCAUCAAAAUUCUUGGCCUUCUCAUAUGUAUUUUAAGCUAUAGAUUCUUCUGGAGGUGAAUUAGCUCAUCUCCCAAAUCUUCUUCAUUCCAAACCCUUAUGGUUUAUCCCAUCAUGAACACUAGCCAUUGUGGUUCUCAAACUAGCUAUUUCACUCAUUACUUUGACAAACUUUGUAUUCAUUAACUCCAAUUAUUAUUGCAUGACCAAAUAACCCCAUUUAAGAUUGUUCCUAUAUUUUAGUGGUGAUGAUCUACUUCUCUCAUGUUUCACAAAUUUGCUUUUGCUUCUCACUUUAAUUUGCUCACAUUUGCCUUGUAUCACUCAAUUCUUAAGAUUUUGGUUUUUUUAAGGAACAAGUUCAUAAAAAAUCAAAGAUUAAUAUCUUAAUAGUGUAAUAAAAUAAUAUAAAGACUUGAGAAGGAAUAAAGACUGAAAACAAUCAAUAUAAAACUACAAAUAUAAAAUCAUGAAUACCAAUACAAACUCGUGUAAAAUAUGAACAAUAUGAAGACAAGAAAAAAAAAAGAAUACAAAGAAUAAGAAACUAAUGGAAUAAGAUUUAAACAACUCAAAAUAACAAAGCACUUUCAAUUUGUUAUUUUACAUAUGGUGGCUGAAACCUAAAAAAAAAAAAACAAUGACACAAUAACUAGUUUUUUUUUUUAUAUAGUUUUCAAGAAAAGAAAAACUAAGUAAAUCUAAAAUACUCAAAAUCAAGAGUUAUCUCCAAGAAACCCCAAGAAUCAAGAUUUUUUUUAAAUUUAAAAUAAGCGGCUGAAUUCUAUAUUUCUUAAAUCAAGAUUUGCGGCAAACCCUAAAAAAAUAUUUUCUUAUGAUUUUUCUUUGUUCUUUUUUUAUAAAACUUUAUUUAAUCAAGAUUGCAAAUAAUUUCUCUUUUAACUUGAUGCCACAACUAGUUUUUACGAAAGAUAAAGAACUUAGUAACAAUGGAGUAAAUGGAAAUUUAAAGAUAAAAGGGAUAUAACCUGAUUUAAAGCCUUACUCUGAUACCAAUUGAUGCAAAUCUCAUAGAUAUAAAGAUCUAGAAAUCUACAGCCAAUUUGACCCUUUCCAAGAAAGUUAAAUUUAGGAUCACGAUUGAGUUUGACACAACAAUAACCUGUAAAAAGGUACCAAGAUUUUAAGUAACCACCCCUACCCAACAUCUAUUAAGAGACAUGAACAAGAAGUAUGGAAGACACCAUAAAACUUGAUUAAUUCUUUGAUAAGUUAGAGUAGUUCAAUGAAGAACCAAAAAGUAUGAGCAAAACCUCACAUAUACAAUAAUAAUUGCCGAAAUCAAAGUCUAUCCCAAAAAACCUAAAUACAAGCUAAAUAACCCUUUUAUAAUAGGUAAAAAUGUUCUAAAUAAUGUUAAAGAAAAAUAAUAUAAUAUUUCUAAAUAAAAUAGGAAAACAAAUCCUAAAUCAAUUAAGAAACUAAUACAAUUCUCAUAUAAUGGCUUCUAGACCUUAUUGCAAAGCCUUUCCGAUGUCCAAUUGCCUUGAAAUGUUAAUAUAGAAUAAGACCUGUGAAAAAUUUUGAUCAAAUGUUAGCCCGAUCCAAUAGUCGGAUAAAAAAUUAUUAUAGUUAGAGUAAAGCUAUGUAUUUGAAACAAUAAACCAAAAAUACUUUUAAUACUGAAAUUAAUUAGCCCACCAUUAAAAAAUAAGUACGCCUACAUUAUAGAUAGAUUAGGCUCGUUUUGCACAUAUAUUAAAUUGAAUAAGGUUUGAUCAUCACUUGUUGAAGCUGAAGCUUCUUUGAAUAACUUGACCCAAAUAGUCUAAAUAAGCUCAUUGAAUGUAUUUUUGAGUUUUUUUGCCCUUGAUCUUAUAAUUAGACCAAAUAGAACUUGCAAUGGAUAUUUUAGUGUAUUCUUAAUCGUAUAAAAUAAUGUUAGAAAUAGGAAGAAGGAAGUGCAGGCAUGCACCAAAAUGAUGUCGUUUUGGUGCAUGUCUUUUUUAUGUUCUUUGGAAAAAUGAUGUCAUUUUGUGUAAAUUGUGGGAAGUUUUUUUUUAAGUUAGUCCUCUAAGUUUUUACAUAUUUUUUUAUUUUGGUCAUUUGAUUUUUAUUUUUUAUUUUUUAUUUUCAUGGCUAAUUACACUUUUUUUCUAUGAAUUUCUUUUAAUUUAGUCUUGAAUUGCACAUUUUUAUAGCCCUCUCAUUCCUCCACCUCUUCCAAUUUGGUCUUUGGAUUUUUAUUCUAUCAUGUUUAGCCCAUUACACCUCUUUUCUCAUUACUUCUUUUAAUUUCAUCCCUAAUUACACAUUUCUUACUUUUUUAUUUUUAUUCUUACAAUCUUCUCAUGCUUAUGCUGUUAUGGUAGCUUCUCAAAACCAUGACAUUCAAGUCUUACUUGCAUUGUCUACUCUCACUAUCCAUCAUUUCUUACUUUAUCCCUAUUUUUACUUGAAAGAUGAUAAUUGUUCCUAAACUAUGAUCUUUUACCCCCCACCAAAACAUUUGUCCUUCUUUUAUUACAUCAAGUCUUCUUUAAUUACCAUUGUUAUGAUUUUUUUGAAAAUAUCAUUACUUUGCAUGAUUUAGAGAUUUGAUUGGCACAUGCUAAACAUUAUUUAAUUUGUAUUUAAAAUUAAGAGAUUAUCUCGAUGUAAUAUUAAAGCACCCUACUUUUGAAAAAGCAUAAUAUGUCAUAGUCGCAAACCAAAACACAUCUUUUAAAACAAAUUGAUGCAACCUUCCUAAAAUGUUUUCAAGAGAUUGAAAAUUUUAGUUUUUUAUGUAAAAAGAAGGAUGACCUAUAUGAUAAGGUGGUCUUUUAAAUUAGCUUUUGUCUAUUGUUUGCUCGAGCAAAAUAGGAAUGCAUAACGGUUACCAUAAAAAAUGUAUAUGCACCUAGGAUUCUAAAUGCAUUAGCACAACAAAUAAUGGCAAGUAACAUAACCAUUUUGAAGAAAAUCCUCAUAGCUGUUGUCUUUUCUUGAUAUGUUGUGAGUGAAGUGUUUUGGCCUAGAUGUUUUGUAAUUUUUGUUUGCUUUUGUUAUGGGUGAUUUGUUAUAGCCUAAGAUUUCACUUGGAGCUCUAUUGAUGUUUUGCAAUUUUCAUUUGCUCCUAGUGUGAAGGGUGAUUAUAGUCAGGUUUUUUUGCAAAGAAUUUUCUUAGGCUUAAAAUAGGAUAGUAAAGGAUAUAUUUUGAUUAGAAACCAAAGAAGGUCUUUUAUCAUUUCAAACUCAAAAUACCUGAAUUGAUAAGUCUUGACCUUGUUUGGCAUAAUAUAUUCAGACAUGCACAUAAAUGUUUAUCACAAGUCCUUAAAUAUUGAACUUACCAUACAUUAUUACUAAUAAUGUCAAUGUAAGAUAUAUAUGAUAUGCAAGGAAAAGAUGAGCUUUGAAAAACAUUUUAUUUUUUUUUGUUUUUUUUUGUUUUUUUUUUUUUGUGUGGCCAUUGAGGGGUGGGUUAUCUCUUUCCAUUCAUACAACAUGUUUCACAAACGUAAGCAUUUUAUAAUAAAUUUGUCAUCCGCCCCUCCGAGAUGGUGGAAUGAGAUGCCAAAUUCUACUUCUAAAGAACAUUGAGUUAUUUUUUAAAAUCAAUAUGUAAUUUAGUUUUAUCUUGGUAAGAACCAUUAACUUAUCAAUAAGAUCAUGCAAUGCGUAGAUGGUAGUUUUUACUUAUAGUUUUAAAGGUUUACUCUGAGAAUAAGCAAGAAAAUGAAAAAUUAAGACAAGAGAAAUAAAACACAUGUGAAGAAAUAUUUGGCAUGAAUUUCUUUUUUUAUUGCUUUGGAUGGGUCAGUACAUUCAUGUAUAAUACUUAUUUACAGAAUAUAAGUUUAUAGAAAAUGAGUGCUCUACUUGAAAAAGCUUUAUUAAGCAUAUAAGAACCUUCAUAUAUGGGUUCCCAUUUUCUCAAAAGUUCUCUUAGUAUUGGGAGAAUCUUCUUUAUGUUUGAGACACCUUUUCUAAAUUCAACCAAGAAUUAAAGGAUUCAUUCUUGGUUUCUAUCCUUAGUUGUUUACUAUAGGGUAUUUGAAUUGAUGAUUACACAUCUAUAAUCAUGUUAAUACGUGUUACUUAUUUUGUAUUUGGAAUAUCAUUCUUAAUGUUGCGAGUAAGUUAGGUAGGAUUAAUAUGAUUUCAUAUAGGCACAUUGAGAGUGAGUGUUGGCCUUUGGGUUCAUUUCAAUCAAUAUAAUAUGGAACGGGCUCACGUCCAUCAAUAACUCACCAUCCUUGUGGGUCCAAUGCUGAUUUUUUUAUCAAAGUGGGGAUCAAGUUGUUUUUAGGCUCAAAUCCAAAACCACUCUUUUAGUUUAAGUUUAAAAUAAAAAAAAUGUCAGUUUAUAUAAUCUCCAAGGAUAACAAACAUUUUUCUUUUUAAAACAAAUAGCAAUGCAACUUACCUUAAAUAGGAUGUAUAUGAUGAUUUUUAUCUUUCCGGUUACAUAAUUAAUCCUUUACCUAAAAAUUCUAAAAAACCAGUUAGAGUUUCCUAGUUACCAUAAAACUAGAUUGGGACUUAUUUUUAAUUUUACCUUGUUUGACCUAUAGUUCGCCAAGAUGUCUCAUGUGAGUGUUAUUCUAAAAAGAAAAUAAAUCGAAAUGAUACCAAUGUGUGUGUAGGCACACAUGUUAGAUGUUAGUACAAAGAAGAGAAUUUGCAGAAAUGAUGGAAUGUGCAAAAAUUAUGGCAAUGCGGAGAGGGAGAAGAUGAUCAUAUGGUAAUGAGUUUUUUACAUGGAAAUAUUGGUGUGUUUGUGUGUGAUUGUUGGUUGCAAAUAGUGUUUGGGGACAUAGUUUUAAUGGUGGCUAGGGAGAGAAAGGUCUUUAAAAAUGGAAGAUGUAGAUGAUGAUAUGAUGAGUAGAAAUGGUGUUUAAAAAUAGGAUACUAUUUGUUAGUUUUUUUGAGAAAGUUUGUAAACUUGUACACUGAUGACAAUAUUGUAAUAUUUAACUUUUAAGUGAUGUUUAGCUAUUAAUUCAAAUACAAUAGCAAUCCUAUAAUUUUCUUAAACUGUUUUGUUGACUUAGUUUUUGCAAACUCAAAUUAGUAUAUAAAGUGUUAUAAAUAUUAUAAACAGUGGUAUGUAAAAAUGUAAUUUCUGAAAUGAUGGAAGAAAAGUAAAAUCACAGGCAAAUCUUAGAAGAGCCUGAGUAAUUUUCCUGAAAAAAGCAGAAGAAUCAGCAUGUCAGAUAAUCAUAUGAACACCGGAAUAUAGAAUCAUCUAUUAACUUCACAUCAAAGAUCCCAUAAAACAAAUACGGAGGUUGAGCACAUCUCGAUUAGGAAAGAUUCUAUAGUAAAAGAAACAAUUCGGAGAAAGACCUCAAGAUUCUAUAGUAAUAAUUCAAUCGAAAAUCCAAAUGUUCCCAAAAACAUUUGAUAAGGGUGAAUAACAAGGUUCAUCUGCAGAGAUCACGAAAACUUAGUACAGAUAAGAUACAAAGGAUAUGAUAUAAGUUUAUUCAAUACAUCAAUAUUGUUUUACAUAGCUUAUUGUAACUUAUUACAUGAACAUCAUAUUUUUUUAAACAUGAUAUGGGCCACAUCACUGUUACACCUUAAGCUACUUCCACACUAUACGGAACACACAGGGAGAUGCUGAAAGGAAGGUCGAUCUAAAGACAGAUUAAUUUAAGGCCCCAGCAGGAGACCAUAUAUAUAAUUAUGCAAAUAACUGGAUGUCUUAUCGUAUGGUAUGAAAUCUUCACGCCUGGUGAAAUUCAUGCUUUAUUCAAUGAUCCAAUCAAACUUCACAGACCAUAUAAUUAUGCUAACUGCUGGAUUUAUUAUGUUAUGGUAGGUAAUCUUCAAGGCUGGUGAAAUUCAUGCUUUCAUCACUGAUCGAAGCUAAGAUCUUAGAGAAAGAGUUGGCUAAGGUUUUUGGAGGGUAUUGAUCUAUGCAGUUUUUCCAGACAUUUGUGUCCUCCAAGUCCUUCAUAACUUUCCACACACAAUUGUUGCACUUAAAACCUGCCCCAAGGCUGAUCAUUAGUAUUGUAUCACCCUUCUUGAGCCUUUUCUUGGCCUCCAUGUAACCUAAAACAUACCACAGGCCGCCAGAUGAUGUAUUUCCAAACCGAUAAAGUGCCAUUCUAGCUGGUUCAAGAUCAUAAUCAUUGAGAGCUAAACUCUGACCAGCCUCAUCAAUGAUUGCCCGCCCACCAGGGUGCACACAAAAGUGAUCGAUUCCAGACUUGAGAUCCAAACCAGGUCCUGCAUCCUUAGGAGUUGGCCGCUUCAUUAUUUUAUUUCGAUAAUAGCUUAUUCGAUAGCGGAGCACCUCUGACAGUGGUAUAACUUUAGGAAGAAGAACUCGGAGAUUCAUGGUUAAAGCUUUAGCACCAGCUUUAGGUAGAUCUUUGUUGAGCCGAAAGCCAUUGAUUCCAAGGUCAUCUUCUGCUUGGAAGCAGCUGUUAUAUGCUUCAUCAUUAGAGCCGAUAUGUGUGCGUACAGAACAAGUCAAUUCCAUGAGGGCUUUAAUCUUCCAAUCUCUGUUAUUUGUUAAGAGAAUGGAGCAGCCCCCAGUACGAAAUAGAAUGUUGGAGAGCAUCAUGGACUUGUCUUUUCCAGGAUACCAAUGUGAACUCAUGGAUUCUGUGCUCAUAACGAUUGCAAAUGAAUUCUUGUAUGUCUUGAACAGUUGCUUGACUAAAUCAAUGGCUACUGCACUUGCACUACAACCCAUUCCAGAGAGAUUGAAUGCCUUGAUGUCCUCCCUCAUCUUGUAACGGUUUAUUACUCGAGCUGUUAGAGAGGGAGCUGGUGAGAACAAAGAGACUGAAGAGACAAUAAUGUUGAUUUCUGAUGGAGAAACUCCUGUCUUAGCAAAGAGCUUAUCAACAGUAUCGAAAAGGAUACCAUCCAUCUCCGAAAUUUCAUCCAUAAGAGUUGCAGAUUCCUCUCUUCCUUCCAUGAUAUUUUUUGGGACAUAAGUUUCUUCACCAAUGCCAGAACUAACCGUAGUCUUUAAAAGAAACUUGUAUUCUUCUAUUCCGAGAUUCUUGUUUCGUGAAAUAAUUCUAGCACUGGAUCUAGGAUCAAGCUUCUGGUCUUCAGCGGCUUUAUGGCACUCAUAGCUUAGCAUAUAGCAACAUUGGUCUUUCUUUUGGUAUCCUAACUUAUAAAGGUUGAAGAUAAUAUAGUACAAUAACAGUGGAAGCAUUGCCAAGAACAACUCCAUAACAAAAGGAAAAGAAAAGCUAUAGAUUGGGUUUCAAGAGAUGCGGAGACUUUUACGAGGGAGUUUAUUAUCAGAACACAACUAUGGUCCUACUCUUAUACUAGAGAAAGGGUUACAUGCAAUGCCUAUGCGCAUGCAAGCAUUAGAUAAUGUUCCUCAAAAAUUGAUUGCUGGGGAAAAGAUUGAUUUCAAAAUAGGUGGGGAUUAUACAUAACUGUCUAUAUAUUUGUGCCAGUAAUUAAUGUUCAACCCCUAAAAAUAGAAAAUAGGGUAUCGUCUAUCUACAUACGAUUCACGUAGCCUAGCUAAGAAAUUGAGAGAGACAAUUAGCUCAUGAGAGACAUAACAUUGCAUUUGGCAUCUUCUUAGCUCAUGUCCCACCAGCAGAAAAUGUGGAAACUUCAACGAAAAGAUUAAAAACCUAAGUUUGCGGCCAAAACUGAUUACGGCUUACCUGCUCCAAGUCCCAGAAUAGUGGCUUUUCAGGUUAACUCGUGGGUUAGUGGAUGAAUGAAUAAACCUUGAUAUAUCUCAAAAUGAUGAUGUUUUCAGACAAAAGAAAAUAAUAUCCUCACCACAAAAAUUAAACAAAAAUCUCUUCAAAUUAACUUGGAGAGGUCUUAUCAAGAUUUAACUCAGUUAACCAGAUUGAAAAUUUACCUGUUAGGUUAUCUAAAUUGAAUUGCUUCAACAUCCACUCCAUGUCAAAAGAAAACUAAGCCUAACUUCAGAUUGGCAAGUUACUAGGUCACGCAGGUUGACAAGGUUAAUGUAAUCAUGAUCAAUUCAUCCAGAUUUGAUUGGGUUAAUGUCUACUCCAGAUAAAAAGAAAACUCAGUCCAUGCUAGGCUUCGAGUUAACGAAUCACCUAGUCGACAUCCAAACUUGGCCUCAAUUUAAUAACUAUGAUAACAACCAUUUAGUAAUAGUCUAUCCAACCAUAUAUUAAAAACAUCAAUGGUUGUAACUUAUCAUUAUGCUAUUGACAAUCUGUUUUUGCAACUUUCACUCCCUACUAUACAUUUGAAAUAUUUUAAUUAGGAGAUUUUUCCUGAACUCCUAGUUUUAUGUUAACAUUUAUAAAUCUUGAUUUGACCAUUAGAUCGGGCUUAAAUAUUUUUAGAAAAUUUUAGAGACAGUGUUUUUUUUAUGGUUAAAAUUUCAAAGUCAUCGGUAAUCAAAAAGUUUUUUUAAAUAAGAUUUGGAAAUUACUAUAUAGGAUUUGCUAUAUUUUCCUAGUUGGUUUCAAAUUCCUUUUUCAUAUUUGGUUUAGAAUUCUUCUACUAUUUUUCAGCUUUAUUAGGAUUUUUUUUUCCUAGUAUAUAAGCUUCGUAGAAGAGUUGUAAUAUUGAGUUUAUGUAAAAGAAAAUAUUAAGUAAUAAAAUUUCAAAUUAGAGUUGUGUGAUGGUGACUUUAUUCGAUAGAAUUUUAUGUUGCUUCCUUCCUUGUGUUGUUUUAAUCUUUAAUCUACAAUAGUUAGUAUUAGAACCCAACGAUACCUAGUGUUUUUUUAAUUUGUGUUAUCAAAUCAUCAUGGUUGAAGUUAGUAGAAGACAUGUAACAAAGCUCAAUAUUUACAUGUAAUUAGUUGUUAUGCGUUGUUGGAUAAUCAUGGUCGGAAAAGGUUGCAAAACAAAACAUGCUUGUAUAGGAAUGGAUGAGAGGGUUUUUUUAUUGGAAAAAACAUCCAUGAAUUAGUGUGUUGUUUCCUUCUUCUUCAUAGAAGGUGAUCCUCCUGGAGAACAUGAUCCAAAGGAAGAAUGUGUUCCAACAGAAGGAUGAAUUUCUCUCAAAUCUGUUUUAACUUUGUUAAGAUGUAGGUAAAGGAGAGCUCUUUUAUGUUAGUUGGCUGGUGCAGCUUUUGACAUAGUCUAAUAUAUGUUUUGAAAGAUUUGUAUUAAGUACCUUUUAGAAUUGAAGCAUUAUGUCAAAAUAGUUUGCUUACUUUUUCUUUCUAACUUCAAAUGUGGUAUGCGUUUGAGCAAUGAUGUGUGCUGAUACCACAACUAUUUCCGCUCAUUUGAUUUAUCAUUAAUAUGCUAAUUUCAUUGUCUGGUGAAUAAUUAUUGGCUCUGAGAAAAAAAAGCAUACAACUGGAUUACACUUUGUGACACAGUAGGCAGUAUGAUAUAGGAAAAUUAAUGGUCUAUUACAGAUAAUUUUCCCCUCCAAAACAUGUAUCUUCUGGUCUAUUUCCGCUUCCCGCUUCACCAUCUUGUUGUUUAACAAUUACUUGAACUAUGUUUUUGGGCCUUUUCUUCAGUUGUUUUGUUUUUUUGUCCAUACGGUCGUUCUGAUCUUUGUAUGAAUAGUUUCUGUAAGAGUACAGCUUUUGGGGUUGGAGCUUAAUUAGAAAUAUAGUAAAAAAUAGAAUGGCGGUAAGUUGUGAAGCUUUUCAAUCAUCCUCAUUGUAAGUGAAAAUUAGCUUUACAAGUGCAUCUAAAAUAUUUUUCGUUCUUAUUUUCAUUAAAAUCUUUUUUUGUUUUUCACUAGCUACUUAUAUAUAUCUUCUCUGAGAUGGUUACAAGUGAUCUUGAAAUGCUCUUCUACUUCUAUAUAUGCCGUAUAGUAAAUCCUCUACUACACACUGUUGUUGUUCUACCAUCUGCAGAUCUCUGUUCUAGUAAUAUCUCUGUGUCAUGAAGCAUUCUUGUGAGCAUGUUAUACCUUGAGCGAUGGUAGAACGAAUUUUGGGUACAAUAACUGGGCAAGAAUCAUGCACCAGUACCCAUUAAUUUAUCCCCGUGGCUAUGUAUUUGAGAAACAUGUAGAGUGAAGAGCAUUGUACUUCAAUAGAAUCUUGGGAUCCUAGGUUCGAUUCUAGGCUUUACUCGUUCUGGUAGUUUGAUUCCUUAUUGUGGGAGCUAUAGCUUGACGUUGGGGAUCGUUGGAAUAGAUGAUAUAAUCUUUCCGUUCUUUUUUCCUGAUGGGUUUAUUUAAAGGCCUAUCUAGUUUGAACCUGGAGCCACAACACUGGGCCAGCUCUCUCUCAAGUCUCAUGCCAUUAGCAAAUUUAGCAAUCCAACUUGUAUUUUUAAAAAAAUUUGAAAAUUUUUUUAUUUAAAAUUAAUAUUUUUUUUGUGUUUUUGGAUCAUUUUGAUGCGCUGAUAUCAAAAAUAAUUUUAAAUAAUAAAAAAACAUCAUCUUGAUGCAUUUCUAAACGAAAAGUAUUUUGAACCGCAAUCUCAAACCGGCCUAAUAUAAGAUUUUUUUGAUAAGAUUCUAAGCAACUCACAAAGUUGUUGAGCUCUACACAAUGUAGUUGCAUACAAGGCAAGGCAAAUAAACUGUAACUCAGGAAAAAAUAGAAAAAAACUACAAUUUUAAAGCUCAAGAAAAAAAAAUCUUACAUCGAUUUUGUGUGAGAAAAGAGAAGGAAAGAAAGCAUGAGAUGAGGAAAGGGAAGAAUGAGAGAAGAAAAAAAAAAUUCCAAAGAGAGAGAGGAGAAAAAAUGGGAAAACAGUGGUGGUCAUUAGGCCACGUAUCCUAAAAACAAAUAAGGAGGGAAAAAAAAAAGAGUAGACUAGAAGAUUUGUCAAAGCAGUCACUUAUUCAAAAAAAAAUUAUAGACAUUAUUAAGGUGUUUUUGAGUAACGUUAAAUUUUUUAUAUGAUUUUAAAAUACACAUAGUUUUUUGUUUUAAUAUCAAAAUAAUGCAAAUAGAUCUAGUCAAGUUGGGUCCACGUAUUAAAUACGCGAUCUAGUUUAUAGUCCCAUCUUGGUUUGAUUAAUAUAUUUUUUAAAAUUAUUUUUUAUUUAAUUAUUUAAUAAUAAAGAUAGAUGGUUACAAAAAAAUCAAAUAUUUUUUUUAAAAAUAAAAUAUGAUGUGUUGCAUGAAUAAUAACAGCUAAAAUAAAUAAAAAAGACUAAUUAUAUAAUCUUAUUUCAUUUAAUUUAAAUUUAAAUAAACAUGGAAUAAAGAAAAAAACUGCAAAAAAAGGGUUUUCUGAAGAAAAAAAACUUAAUUUUCAACCUAUUUUUCACCUGGAAACAAUUGAAUAGCAUUCCUAUAACCUUAAGAAAAUAAUUUUCAAAUCAACAAAAAAAACCCUAAAUAGGUUCAAAACACAAAAUAAAAAUAAAAAACCUUCUCUCAACCUCAAUUUUGGCCAUUUGAUCCAAUAAAAUCAAAACGCAUCUCUUUCUCUCUUUUUUUGGAGACUUUCUCUCCUCUCUCGAGUUCUAGAAAUAAAACAUCAAGAAAUUAAAGUUAUAGACCAAAAUGUAAAAACCAAAAAAAGUCAAAAACACACUUCAAUGGUAUUAAAAAGAAAUAGCCUAGGAAUUUUUCCAUUGUCAAUUUUUGCCCUCAGUGUUUUAAUUAUAUUUAAUUAAAAAAAUUAAUUUAAUUUUUUCAAAUUAAUAUCAUAAUUUCUUUUAAAUAUUGUGAGAAACCCUUAUGAAAUUAACCGAGAUAAAUCAUCAAUCCUCGUCUUAAAUAAACUAAAUGUUGAACGAUCUCAUUAAAAAAAAAAUCAAGUGAUCCAAAAAAAUAUAUAUAUUGCUGUGGCCUAUUGCUUUUUUCCUAUAGAGUUUUUUUUUUUUUUUUCACUUCUUGAUUUUAACCAACUUAAAUUUUUUGAAAUAAGGAUAAAAAAAUGUGUCUCAUUAAUUACAUCCCCUAUUUCUUAUUAAUGUGUUCUCUUUUAUUAAAAAAAAAUAUCAGAAGUAUUCUUAGUGACAGAGGACUAUCAAUGCAUGAACAUGUCUAGUUUUAGUUUCACACCGCCAGUACUCAGAAAAUAAAACACCUCCACAUAUAAACACAACACUUGAACUCCUAGAUUCUGUUCUAUUUGGAUUUUUCUUACAAAAUAAGCAGACAAUCUUUUCAAGGAAAAAAGCGCAACACAGAAGAAACAAAGAACAAGGCAACCUGGCAAAUUACAGUAGAUGGAAAUACUAAAGUUGGAAAUAUGGAAAACAGAACAUAGAACGGUAUGGGAUUAAACAUUUGAAGGGAUUGCGCAUAGAAACUAUCGGAUGAGAUAGCAAAAUAUGCAGCACAAAAGAAAUCCAAUUUUGCAGACUCAAUUACCCAAAUCACCUGACAAAGUUCACCAUCACACACUGUAAUACAUUCAUAGUAUCUUAGCUUAAUUAGCAAACCAGAAGCUCAUAUUAGAUAACAAACAAGAGAAUAGAACUAAUCUAUUAACGAAAAAAACAAGAAAAGCAUUACAAGCUCCAUUAUCUGUUAAGCUCUAGUGAUCACCACAUUCAAUUUUGUCUCUGAUAUUUGCCAGCACCUCUUUAGACUCCCUCAACAACUUGAUACUUGUGUUCAGCCUCUCACGCUUGCUAGCAACAGAUGGAGGUUCCUCUAACAUUCUUUCUAUUGCAACACCACCACCAGUACCCAACAACGCAUUAACAAUCUCCUUUUCCAUCUCCUUGUUCACCAAGUUUCGGAUGCUGAGCUGGAGAUGCAGAGCCAUAUUGUCAACCAACCUCAUCAAGACAAUCUUCCAGUAAGCAAUCAGCCUCAUCUUCAAGUCAAAAGCUUGAAGAAGAACAUGUUUAUGACCCCUAAGAUCUCCCACUACAACCUCUCUCGAGCCAUCAAUCGUCACCCUGGAAGAUCCAAAUUUCGUAAUGUUGUCGAUGACUGCUUGCUGCUGUGCGAUGAGCUUGUUCCAUUCCUUCAUAUAUUCUGGAUUACAUGUGUAAUCCGUUUCCUUCUCCAUCUGGAGAAUCUCUGUUACCCAAUCAAUGGACCGGUCUUUCAUUUUAUCUACAAGUUUAUGGGCCGCUCGUCCGAUAAAUAACUGAAGUUGGUGAUAGUUCGCCGAGUGAUGAUUCAAAACUGAAAUGACCACACCUCGAAUGUAAGCCCACACUUUUUCAACAAACCCUAUUUGUAGUUCUGAUAUUUCUUCAACUUUUUGCUGCAGGAUGGCAAGGAUGGCAGCGUGAGGAAGGAAAUUUGGCAAUUCAAUCCCUUUUGUUUCCUCCAAAACCUCAAUCUCAUUUAUCAUAAAAUUCUUUGUAUGGUCAGAACACUUAUGAAGUUCUGUUGAGAAUUGAUUGAGCAUUUCAACCAAUCUAGCAGUGCAGUGCAUAUCUUUUUCAUGUCGGUAUUCAUCAAUUUCCCCUCUUAAAAGGAUUUUCCUCAAAGAGUCCUUGGAAGAUCCAAUAAUGCCCAUGAAAGCUGCCAUGACCUCAGCAACUGACAACAACCUCCUAGGUAUCCUAUUCAGCUCUGAAAUACUCGCACUCAACUUCUCAUCAAUCUUUCUGACGAUAUCAGGCAAACACUUGGCAAUAAUAUUAGCCUGAAUUUGCACCAGUUUUUGAGCCAAAACUUGAAUACCCACUGUAGAUUUAUCAAUCUUGGACAAAAGUUGAUGUGUAGCAAACAGUGCAGCUUCUUCCUUCCUUGCAUCCUCAUAAGACUCAUUACCAAUACGGUUUCUAACACACACAUAACCAAGGCCUAUAUUCACAUCAUUUCUAGUGACCUUCUCAAGUAACCCUUCAGGUGAUUUAUCAACCUUUGUAACCACAGCAAGAGUCCUCUGACCGUUCUUGUCGACUUUCUGUGACAUCCUUAUGGAUUCACAUGUGGAAAAAUCAACGCUCGCAGACAAAACAUUAAGGAUAACACUCUCAUCAGGACUAAUAUACUUCAUUAUAAUGUAUGCUAUCUGCUCAUAGAUAUUUUCAGGUUGACCAUGAACAGGAACUCUUGUUAUUCCAGGGAGAUCAACAAGAGUAAGAUCAGGAACACCAUUCUUUUUCACUACAAGAGUUAAUUCAGUGUUAGAUAUGCCCUUACCGUUGCCUGCUAUCUCAUCAGUGACAAGAUUGAUAGCAUCAGCAACGUGGGCUUCAUCAGUAGGCACUGUUUUGCCAUUGAACUGCAAGAAAAUCUCUGGUACAAGAGAUGGGUGAUGUUUAAGCCUCACAAUGAGAGGCACUCUAGUGCAAAUGCCAUCGCCACGAGGAAGAUUGAUACAAGCCAAUGAUUCAAGAACACUGGAUUUGCCUGAAGAUUGAUCGCCAACAACAACAAUGGUUGGAAGUUGUAUGCCUUCUUUCAUUACCUGGAGUUGCCUCAGCCUGUCCACUGCAUCAAGGAGAGGUGUGAUACGGUCGUUGUAAUACGAAACAAUUGGUACAUGAUCAUGAAAAAUAGCCUCAUGUUCAACAUGAAGUUCUACUUCUGUAUUUACUGAUGCAUCUUCAUAUUUUUCAACUCCUUUCCUUUUUGAAGAAGGCUUGCCUCCACUCAUUUUCUCUAGAAAAUAUCAGACAGGGAUAGAAGAAGAGAGAGAUAUUUUUUAUAUGGAAAGAGUUCGAAGAUUGGUAUGGUCUUGGAAAGAAAAGGAUGGAACAGAAGAUAUAUUUUAUAGUAGAGGAGGUUUUCAUUUAACUGAAAAAUUAAGAUAAUUGCAAAAUUACGAUAUAGAGAUUUUCAAUAUAGCUCUCAAAUUAAUAUUUUUAUUAAUUAGGUCCCUAAAGGAGAAGCAUUAUCCAUUCUUCCAUUAGUGGAAACACUUACUUCGUUUGAUUAAUGAAAAACGUCAGAUUUCCCUCAAAAUCGCAUCCUUUUAUUGCAUUAAUUAUGCAUGCAAUCUAAACAUGGAAACUCGUAAGAACGAAGGAUUUCAAUCGAGGAUUAAUGUCAAAUACUUUGAAGACCAAAUUCAAAAGCUAUAUAGUUUAGACACUUAAUUAGUUGAGAAUUGGUUCGUAGGUGAGAAGUUAAUUUGAGCUUUGCUCUUAAGAUAAUUAUCAAGCCUCGGAAUUAAUGUUAUGGUCUUUUACAUGAAUAAUUUCUGUCCAUUUCUAAAUAUUAUUUUCAUUGCUGAGAAAAAUAGUACAUAAGGUGAAAUCGAAUAGAAUAACCUCCAACAAAAGAAAAGUACAAAGAAAAGACCAAAAAAAUAACCCCCAACAAAAGAAAAGUAUAAAAAAAAUACCAAAAAAAUUACCUCCAUCAAAAGAAAAGUAUAUAGAAUAACCUCCAACAAAAGAAAAGUAUAUAUAAAAAAAAGGACUAAAUCGAAUAACCUCAACAUCGAGUAUUUUUGGAUUAAUUUAUACUAAAUCUUUUAUCUAGAUAAUCUUAAUUAUAAGAGCACAUCUCUCGUAUUAGUAUGGUGAAUUCAAAGGAAUUAAUUUAUUUAAGUCUCUUAUAUACUAUCUUCUAAGUUCAAAUUAAAAGAACCAUGAAAAUGAAUUCAUAUCUCAUUAACUAUAAGAAUUACCCUUAAGAUAGAAAUAUUUAAAAGAGCUAAAAAAAAUCAAUUAAGUGAACUUUAGACCAAAUUAAUUUGAACUUAAAAAUCAAAUUACUCGAAUAGUAUUAAAUUAAGAAAAAGAAGAUUGAUAAAAACUUAAGAUAGAUAUAUUUGUUUGGGGAAAAAUAAAAAUUGCUAGUAAUAUAUGUUUACUAUGUUUGUUCAUCCUUGGGAAUUCAUAAAGAGUUUAAAGAAAUUUGCAAUUUUCAAAAUAUCUAAAUUUAAAAUAUUAAUAUUUGCUUUUUAUUUAAAAAGUAUAUACAUAAAAAUACAUGUUACUAGUAUUGAAAAAUGAAAUAUUGAAAUAGAUCCAAAUAAGGAAUUAAAUUUUUGGUAUAGAAAACUAACUUUUUGAUUUAAAAAAUAACAUAAAAAGUUAACAUUAAAGAUGCAUGCAUGAAAUCAUAGAACUAUAAUAUCUAUUAGUAAAAAAAUUAAGGGUAUAUAUGUCCAAUCAAUAUUAAUGUUAGUAUUAUAUGGUCCUGAAAAAUUACUCCCAUUCCCAAGCCCUUGGAUUGUAAUUCCCAUCAUUUUAGAAUGUGUUUCCAAGGAAAUGUCUUUAUAAAUAAAGUAAUACUCCAUUUAUUUAAAAAAAAAAGUCAUAAAAAAGAAAAUUUUAAACUUUUAGUUCAAAUGCAAUAAUUUCUAAUCUAGAGAACAAGAAAACUAGUUUUAAAAAUUUUAGUAGGUUUGAAAAAUAAUUUGAUGAGGUUCUUCAUAUUUUUUUGCAAGUUUUUCAAACAAAGAAAAUUAAAAUAAUAAAUAAUAAAAUAUUUUAAUCUUAUAUACAAACACUUUUUAGGGAUGUGAAAUUUUAAUUUUUAAUAAAAAAAAGUCAUAUUUAGUUAUCAAUAUUUUUUUAUGCACAAAUACUUUUUAUCAAAGUAAAAUAUUACUUUGUAGAGGAAGGUUCCACUAAAUAGUAAAUCUAGAGGAGCAUGUCAUAUAUUCUAAAAGAUGUAAAGUUGAUCUAUUAGAUUUGUCUAAGGGGCAGGUAGUAUAAUUAAAGUUUUAAAAAAUAUAACAACACAAGAAAAUAUUUAUCAGAAACUAAAUAAUACAACACAUAUGAAUGAGAAUGACCAAAAUGACGAUACCAAAAUCUAGGUAAUAGAAAAAAAGAGUAGAAAAGACAUGAUAAUUAACUAUGCUAAAAGAAUGAUAGCCUUGAAAGUACAAUUCUUAACAAGAUAAAAAUGAUCAUAAAAUUCAAAAAAUAUAUUAUUAUUAUUGAUAGCAAAUUGACGUAUAGAAAGCAAGGAUUUUUCUUAGUUUCACUUGCAACUAUAUUAAGAUAUGAUUUUUGUUUUUGUGUUUUUUUUAUUAUAUUUGUUUUUUAUUUUAUUUUUAAUUGUUUUUGUUCCUAAUAAUUGUAUGAAUGUUGUUGUAGGAUUUUUUUUUCAUAUGAGAUCAAUUUUUAGUUGAUUUAUUUAUUCGAUUUUUAAUUUUUUUUCAUACGAAUUUUUGUAGUUGAAUUUAUUUUUUCAUGUUAUUUAUUUGUUGCAAAUUUUUUUGAGUUUAUUUUCUUCUUCUUUUUUCCAAAUAUUUUGAGUAUUAUAGAGUGUUGAUUUAUAUUAAUUUAAUUAUUUUAUAGUUUUGUAAAAUAGAUUUUUUUUAAAAUAUUUAUAAAUAAUUAACGACUGAAUUACAUACGGUAUUUUGUCGUGAGAAAUACCGACGGAAUGAAAUGGAGAUAAUUUUUGUUUUGCGCACUUUUUCCGUCGGUAAAUCCAUCGAAAAUAAUAUUUUUUAUUACCAACGUACUUACCGAUAGACAAAAAAUUACCGAUGAAAGAGUCAUCGAUGGAGCAUUUUUUAGUCAGUGAUUUUGUUGGUAAAUUAAUUACCAACAGAAUAAUAGUACAAAUAUCAACGAAAAAAUCCAUUGGUAAAUGUAAAGAUUGUGGUAGUGUAAUAAAUAACAAUCGAGGUCUAAAAUUAUGUUGUAUAAUGUAGCUUCGAUCAACAUCUUAAAUGACUUCUUUAAGAAAACCUUGAAUGCCUUCAUGCGAAACUUCCACUAAAGGAAAAAUCUAGGUGAUAGAAAAAAAUGACGAUACCAAAAUCUAGGUGAUAGAAAAAAAAAAAAAAAAGUAGAAAAGGCAUGAUACUUGGGUAGGGUAAAUAGAGAAUGAAAUAUGUAAAAUCUAUCUUUAACUAUGCUGAAAAGAAUGUACAAUUCUUAACAAGAUAAAAUUAAAUGAUCAUAGAAUUCAAAAAAUAUAUUAUUAUUAUUGAUAGCAAAUUGACGUAUAGAAAGCAAGGAUUUUUUUUAUAUAUUUUUUUAUAUCAAGAACAUGUAAGAUAGAAAAUAAUCAUAAGGUAUAAGUAAGUGUGGGAACAUUAAGGAGACCAUUACCAUCCUCUACAUCAAGGUGAUCUAAAACAUUAAUUAUAUGACUCUAUAUGUGAUAGGCUAGUAACUUAUUACAUGAACAUCAUAUUUUGCAAAACAAGAUAUGGGCCACAUCACUAUUAUACCUUAAGCUACUUCCACACUAUACGCAACACCCAGGCAGAUGCUGAAAGGAAGGUCGAUCUUCAAGGCUGGUGAAAUUCAUGCUUUCAUCACUGAUCGAAGCUAGGAAGAGUUGGCUAAGGUUUUUGGAGGGUAUUGAUCUGUGCAGUUUUUCCAGACAUUCGUGUCCUCCAAGUCCUUCAUAACUUUCCACACACAAUUGUUGCACUUAAAACCUGCCCCAAGGCUGAUCAUUAGUAUUUUAUCACCCUUCUUGAGCCUUUUCUUGGCCUCCAUGUAACCUAAAACAUA
rnacentral:lncRNA from 1 species